GAGAGAGGAGCUGAGCUUUGGCCCCGAGGAGCUGUGUGCAUGGAUCUGGCACAGCUUUGCUCCUUUCACUCCUGGACCUUUGUUUUGGUGGCGAGCGGGGAGAGCAGGGAGCGCUGUGCUCGCGUUUCCCUCCGGCUUACGCACACACACACACACACACACACACAUACACACACACACACACACACACACAAAUCCCCUUUCCAACUUUCUGCCUUUUGCGCUUCCCUCCCAGUUUUUCACUUCUCAGACCUACUGGCAGCAUUUGCCGAGAUCUAGAUCCCCGCCGUGGCUGAUAAAUGAACAGGUGAAUUUGUAAGGAUGUGAUUAUGAAAAGCUCAUAUCAAAACUUUUUCUGGCCACUUUUAGAUGUAAGACAAAAUACUACAGGUCAGAUAAAAUAACCCCAUCCAUAUCUGUACAGUUUUGUACUGAUAUUAUAUACAUAGCCAACGGGCUUUAUGGUGGUGUGUCUCCAGCAGUCUAAUGUUUUUUGUAUGAAACAUGCAUGAUCUUUUACAUUUCCUAUUUAAUAGAGUAAGACCUUACCUUUUGUUUGGGGAAAAAAUAUUUUUAAAAAUAAGAAAAAAAAAUUGUGGUAAUUUUUUAAAAUCUCAACUGAGAGCCUGUUUUUAAACUUUUUUUCCUCAAACAUCAUUGUUUCAUGGAAGUAUUCCUGAAACCUAAUAAGGUCAUUUUUCCCCAACAGCAGUUAGACAUCUUAAACAUCUUAAAUAUUUGACCCUUUGGCCUUACAAAGCACGUUUUCACUUUGGCAAACUGUAAUAUGCAAUAUAGCUUGGGUUAACAUCUAUCCUGUCCUUACCCUUCUCAGAACAUAUUGAUUAAAGGAAAUAUGGCUUCUGAAAAUAAGAUCACCUGGAGGAUUUUGCAGCUCUUCACACUAUACAGCAAUGGGCAGUGUAAAAGCAGCACUUUCUUUAAAUCUUUAAUACUUUCCUUUAAAAAACAAAAACAAAAAACACGGCAUUUGGAGGUACAUGUAAAGGAAGAGAUGACUGCCAUGACCUGAGACCUGAAUGUUGCUUAGAUUUGUACAAAUUGAUGGAUUUAAUUCUACUUGGACUCUUGUUAAGAUAUAGUAACACACAGUGGGUUAGAUUUUGAUUUUUUUUUUUUUCCUUCCAAGUUAACACCAGUGUAAAUAGGAAACAUGCACUGCAAGUGAACAAAAUUGGAGGGGGUGGGGGGGGUGUUUCUAUAGAAUCCAAAUGUGGAUAUAAGCAGCCACAGAUCCAUUAUCUGAAGUGGUUAUGUCAUCUUACACCAGCAGAAAACUGAGCCCACUAUAUUUGAUUCCUAAAUCUCACCUUAUAUCAGAUGUUUAAAGGUUCAGAUGGAUAAGAUAUGUCUCUGUACAGUGUGCUUUAAAUUAAAAGCUAGUGAAAAACACAUCUCUUGAUUUCUGGAUGACAGUCUUGGAAAAUGUUUCAACUGGUAGCUGCCCUUGUCCUGUUUUACUCCACCCUCAUCAAGGAAACCAGUAUCCAGCAAUGUAGGAGCUGAUAUUCUCAACAAAAACAAUAACCUCUCUUCUGUUCAUCUUCCUUGCUCUGUUUUGGUUACUGAGAGGUGGCCUUGAAAGGGCAGCAUGUUUAAGGCAGAAAUAUUUCUUGAGGCUAUGGGGAGGAUGUUCUCUUGUUUGAAGGAAACCAAGGCUUCCAACUGAUUUUAAUUUUAUUUUUAAUGUUCAUGGGAACCAGUCUUACAUGCCUGGCUGAAUUCAGACUUUGGAUUUUUGGCAGGUUUUUAUUUGAGCCCAGCUUGGCUGUUUUUCAAAAUGUCCAGAUUGCUCACAUUAAAUCUGAAUAAGCACUACCCACUAGUUUAAUCAGAGUCAUCUGGUACACCUCUAAUUAGUGUUAGUUAAAGUUGAAGUUCAUGAUAACAAAAUGUGUUAAAACAUAACACACAAAACUUAGUAAAAUCCUGAACAGAAAUAGGUAGGAGGCAAAAUCUUGUGAAAUUAUACCCCCCAAAAAUUAGAAUAUACAAGUUAUGAUGACAAUAACACAAUGGUGAAGAAAAAAAGUAAGACCAAGUUUCUGACAAAUGUCAUGAAAGCUAGUCUUUAUCUGUUUUAUCCAUUAAAGCAUGCGCACAUAUUGUAUAUAGGUGUGGAUUUGAAUCGCGAAUGAGCUUUAAUUGCUGGUCCUCAUGACCUAACAACUGGUUGUAGUUGUACACUGUGCAUGAAUUGUAAAAACUUGUACACAUCUGUGUGUAUUUCAGAAAAUUAUCAAAUAAACAGGUGAUGUUUUUGUUGCAUCUUCAUAUGAAGUAUUUUCUUGUCUUAACAUGUUUGUGAUAAAUUAUAGGCAAACACAGUAUUAUCAUCUUUCUUUGAAAUCAAUGUAGGUUUGCCUGAGUCAGGAACAGUUAGUGCCUUACUGUGAAUUGUGAAACAAUAAAGAUUGACAGUUGUUAAAAUUGCAGAGUUAUUGGCUGCAAGAGAUCAAAAACCUGUAAAGAUCGAAACUGUGUGUGUUACAAUAGGUGCCUAUAAGGUGCUUGUUUACCUUUAAUUCUUCCCUGAAUUAUUGCCUUAGAAGAGAAUGCUUUAUUAUGUUGCAGCAUAGGCCAAUUAAAAUGGCAAAUCCCACAAUUGGAUCUCUAUAUUAACAUAUUCCUCAAAUUAAGACUUGGGGUUUUGAUUUUUCAGGUGUCAUUUCUAAAUCCUUGCAAAGUGGUGAAACACACUUGUACGUGUUACAAAGAAGCUAUGCUUUUUACAUAUAUUAUGUAAUAGUAGCGCAACAAAGCAUUUAAAUGUUUACUUGGAUUUGCUUCUUACCUGAAAUUUCUUUUUUUCUCAGGUCUGUUUCAAUUCAUAUUCUGGACAUAGAAAUGAUAUUUCUUUCUAUUUUUUUUUCUGGACACAUUUCAGCUUCACUACUCAAGGACUGAAUGGAUCAUGAUUACAGAGUUUUUUUAAGGGCAUCUGUUCUCAGCCACAGCUGAGGAUGGGGCCCAUGGAGCUGACUGGAAGGAUCCACCUAGAAUUUGUUGAAUUAAGUCCUUGCACCUGGAUAUAAUUGUCAUGCUGCUGUGCUGGGGUUUUCUUAAGCUACUGGUAAAACAAAUUAGCUCAAUUUAAACUGGCAUCCAGUAGGGAAGCAACAACUCACCUCAUAUAAUAUUUUUCAAAUAAUUAUUUUUCUAUUGCCAGUUUUGCUUCAUGAAUGUUUUCCAAAAGGCAGGGUGAAUUGUUGGGAAAUUUUUUUUUAAGUUAAGCACAAGACACAACAAAAAACAUUCUAUUCUGCAUAUCUGCUGAGUUGCAACUAAUAUUAGAGUACUGUGCACUUAAUAAUUGUAUGUGACUGUCUUAAAUAUAAAAGCCACAAACAUAAAUGAAGGUAACUAUAGAUACAACAGGCCACAAAUACAAUAUAACAACCCUCCCCCACCCUUUCCCAAACAAUUUUCAGUGCAUAUACUUCAUACUCCUUUUGCCAGAUUUAGCACUGUAAUGAUAUAACUGCUUUUACAUUUGGGAAAAAUUCAUGGAAGUUUUUUUGGUUGAACAGUAGACAAAGGUAUUCAUUUAUGUCUGACACGGGAAUUCGUAUAAAUACCAUGGGAUCUCAUUUCCUUUUAUAGUUUAGAGCCUUUAAACUUGACAACAAAAUUCAUAAGUUUCCUGGAAGGUCCACAAAGGCUCCUUGCCUCGGCUGCACUCGCAGUGGCAGUACUUUGCUUGAAUCCCUGGAAUGUGUGCAUCUGUGUUAGCUUCAGCUUCCCUUAAUAUCCUCCAAAUGUAGACUCCAGUGGAAAAGGAUGAAAAAUCAUUUAUUCAGCUGAGUGCUUCAGAGUGACUUCUGAAAUGGAAGAUGCAGCACUCUCUAUCAGCUUUCUACAUAGCACUGUUGUAUUUUAUUCUAUGAUUCCAUUUGGAUGGAGCCCUGGGCAAUCUGAUCUGGUACCAGAUCUGAAGAUUUGAUUCAUAGAAAAAUGCAAGUGAUGCGUGCCACUGAUUUGGGUCAUCUGCACGCAAUUCAAAAGGAAAAGGUGAUUUUUUUCAUUGCCUGCCAAGUAAGUGGGAGAGGUGUAGGAAAAAGUGGAUUUAUGCAUAAAAUGCAAAACUCCAGAUGAAAGAACGGACCUCUUUUAUCAUCGUAGAAAGAAUCCAUCUGCAAUAAUUACCAGUCAGGCUAUCUGCACCCUAUGUUACUUCGUGACAUCUGAGAACUGCUGCGCUCCUUGAACCAAUAGCCGUUAUAUAGCAACCAGCAUCACUCCUGAAUGAAAAAAUUGGCCCAACCACUGGUGAAUGGCACUCAGUAGGUUUCCCAUUGAACUGUGCUGCGAAACAAUGAUGCACAUUGGUAAAUCACUGUGUGUGCCUUUCAGUUCUUAUGCAUAUCCCGUACUGGACAGCUUCCAUUCACUCCGGCACCCACUGCAAACAAAUGUAACUAUGCAUCAAAGAUGAAAGUGAAAAUGCGUAUGUUAAAUCCCAAAUGGAAGCACAAGGGUGUAAUAUAUACAUAGUUGCUUAGCAACAAACAUGUUUUGGCCACAGGAACUGUGACAUCAGUCAGAGAAGCGGGAGGGAAGCUGCUCUGCCCUUCUUCUCUGCUUCCCUUCAUAAAGGUCUUUCCUUAUUUCUUUUAAAGCAGAAGAUAGAGGGCUAUUGUGGAUGUUUGUUUGCACUAUUAACGCAUCAUUUGGACUUUUCUUUGGGGAGGGAAACCUCCUUUUGCUCUGAGGAUCUGUCGCAAUGGAGCGCGCCCUCCCUCAGCCAGGUGUUCUGGUCCCGGCUUUGUGGCUCUCUGUGGGCUCCAUUUUAGCUGAAAUGCUCACUUAGGAGAAAUGAAGCGCUAAGGCCGAAAAUACAAAAUGUAGGAAUUCAACAACUAUUUUUUGGUGUCACUCACUCUGUGUCACGCCUUUCUCUUCAGCUGCUAGAAGCUCUCUACUGAUAUUUCACAUUUUUUUAGCUCUAUAUUUUUUUUCAUAACAGAAACAGCAUUUAUUUCAGUAAAUCACACAGUACCUAUGACCAGCUGAUAGACAUUCAUCAACUGCACUGAUUUUACAGAUGGUCAGAAUCUCUCUUCCCUCCUUUACUACUUUCUCCUCUUCCCUGCAUGCUAUGGGAGCCUCUGCAAUGGGAGGCAGAAGAGAGGACUGGUCAGUGUUGGCCCAAGGUACACACUGCCCAGUGCCACCUGCUGCCACUGACAUCAACCAAAGUUCUCUACAUAGCCAAUGUGCCUCAUGCUUUCAGAAGUCUGCUUUCUUCACUGGACCACAGCAUCUUCCACAUGUAGAAAUAUUGCACAUUCAGGUUCAAAUCGAUCUGCCAGCCUGGAUUGCUGUAGACAUAUCCCCGAAUACAUUACUUUAGAGUGUUUCCUUUUAAUUUAAGGUAAUGAAUGUACUUUGGCGGAUCCCCAGUGGGGGGAAAAGAACAUUUCUGGCAUGCACUUCUCUUUGCAAAGAAGGCUUUCUUGACAGUGUGAGAGACAUGUAGGAAUGCAAGAUGUAUUGAAGAACUCAAAUGAAAUUAAAAUUGUGGAUGAAAGCAGGGUUAAAGAAGCAUUAGGGUUAAAAUAAGGCCUUGAUUUUCACUCAUGGAGCUAUUAUGUAGAUAGUGUUUUACUUGCUUUCAUUUUCUGUGAAUUCACACAGACUCUUUUUUAUAUGAUAGCACAAAUCAAAUUGACAAGGUUUAACUGAUAACCUCUUGCACUUACCAUCAGAUUAAUUUUGGGAAAGAAAAUGGGUCAUUCUGAAAAUAGUGAAGAAUCUGAUAUAAGGUAUGGUGGUGUCUCUGAGGUCAAUAGAGAAGUGUGCAUCAAAACACAAGGUAAGACAAAAAGGUUAUAUGAUGAAAGGAUGGAAAACUGGAAAAAAGUAUAAUAUUGAUUCUAUCUGAAAUGAAGAACCAAGCAAAUGACCCAGGAUCUGGAUGGGGUGGUGUUCUGAAUAAGGCAUCAUUGUGGAUUGCGGAUUCUUGUCUACGUUUCCUCUCUGUGACUUAAAUCAGUUAUCCCAGAAUUUUUUUGCAGCCUGAAUGGAGUACUGUGUAGCCUGACCCUACGGAAACCAAAUUAACAUCUGGAUUUGAAGUACAUGGCUGACUCUUCAGAAAUACAAUACAUGAAACUGGGAUCCCAUAUCUGAGAGUGGUUGGCAGCUUGAGCGACGAACUGAGAUUUGUUGGCUGGGGAUCAACCCAAGAAAUUCCACCAAUAUGCUACUGUGCUGUUUCCCCUGUAAACUCUUCUUUUUUUUUAAUUUGUGAAACAAAUGACUAUAUCAGCUGAAAGGAUAAUUAAACUAACAACCAAAAUAAAUGCUUUAAGGGCCUGUCAGAUUGCCAGUAUUUUAAAUGUGAAUUAUCAAAAAUUUUAAUGGUAAUUGCUCUCACUGAGUGAAGCAGGAUUUUACAAUUCACAUUAGUUACUGAACUAUUUCCAAAUGUACACAGUUUAUCUCUGUGAUCCUAUUCUUUCAACAUAGGUUCAACCAUUUGUCAAGCAUUGGCUUUCUGAGCAGUGUAAGUUACAAUUUUAGUAAUGAAAUCAUUGUCUUCUCCUACCAUGUAGAUGGACAGGUAGUUUCUUUUUGGGAGGGUAGACAUAGCUUAAUGUUAAGCAAAGAUUAUGCAUGUACUCAUGCUUUCAGCAGUUGUGAAGCUCCAAACAAAUACAAAAUCUUUUAAAAUACCUCGAAGGUUACUGUUAAAUUUGGCUCCUAUUUUAUUCUGCCAUGGGGUACUCUGAAAGGUGGAAUAGAAACAGGAGGAAUACAGUGCUGGAAAUCACAUGAAGAUUCAAGUCACAUCAUCCCUGACAAAAUUCACAUAAUGAGGAGCAAAGUUGGAGCUAGAACUCAAGCUGAUGCUUUAAUUUUUUUGGUUGUUGUUGUUUGCCUUUGACCACAUCACCAGCUUCCCUUAGUUCAUUCCCUUUUCUCUUUGAUAGAUAGUUCUGUUCAUGGCUGCAGUCACUGCCUUGAACGAGGACUCUUUUCAAGAUUCAUCAUCUUUUCUGUGUUCUUGAUUUCAAACACUGACCCUUUUGCUUGUAGAGAAAAGCUGUGUUUUUGAUGGAAAAGAAGUCAGCACCUAUUUGCAAAAUUAAAGGUGGAAAAGAGCAAUGCAAAUUCUAAGCUGUGCACAAUGAUCUCUAGUUAUCUGUUAACCAUCUUUUAGACUGAGUGUCACUUCUGCCCCACUUCAUUAUAUUUGUUUUUGUGUCUGAAACAGCCUCUAUCACAAAAGUCAAUAGUCAUAGUCUUGACAAAACCUAACAGAAAAUGGAUGCUUUCUUGGCUGGAAAACCAUUCAUGGAAACAGUUCAAAUAGAAAUCUGCACCAGGCAGGGAGACUGGAGUCUCACUGCUUAAUGUUGGUAGUGUCCUGCAUGAGAAAAACAACAAUGCUAGCUACAUCCAGGGAAAGCUACAGGUGGAACUGGAAAUCAGACAGGAGAAGUGACUGUAAUAUGUAAUUCAACAGGUGGAGAAAGAAGUAGGUACUUACUAUAUAUACAGGAGAAAUCUGCUGCAGAAUUGCUGGAGCAAAAGCAACAUAUUUAGUUCUAAAAAAAAAAAAAGGGUGGAGAAGUUUAUAGACUCAACCUUUACUCCAAUGAAAGGAUGUUGUGAAAAAGACAAAUGUAUUACUGAGAUUUUAAUUUUUUUUUAAAUUUUAUUUUAAAAUAAAGAUAUCCUAGAAGGCAGCUAUAGGUUUUUUUUGUAACUUGCUUAGCAUGAUCAAACAUAUGGGAUUACUUUCCAGAAAGGAUGUGGAGCAAUGGAGUAGAUUGAACUAAGCAGUCAGAAUGGCUGACAAGGAAACCGGAAGAACCAGGGCUGUUUAGGGCAUACAAAGAGGGAACAUAAUGGUUUUCAAAUAUGUACGAAUUUACCACAGAGAAGAAAGUAAUGAAUUGUUUAACACUUUUUCUCUGCAUUGUGCGAAAAUAUAGACUUGAAGAACUCUAAAAGAAAUCUAGGCUAGCUGUUACAAAAAGUCACGAUUAAGGAACAGAUCAGAUUGCACAGUGAAAAAGGUGUGUGUUUUCACUGGUGAAAGACUAUAAAAACAAGUUAAAUAAACAUCUGUCAAAAAUAGCAUAGCUAUAGUUGAUUUUUGACCUCCUAAAAUCUUUUUCAGCUCUGCUUUCUGUUAUUUUCUCCAAGUGGAUUCUGCUGCUUGGAUGUUUGUUGGUAAAGCCAGCAAUCAAAAUAAUAAUGUAGAAGCAGAGCCCUGUAAACACAGAGGCUCUGGUAUGGUUUCUAGUCAUGUCAUUUACCCUCUAGUGGAAAGUGCCAAGAUAUGUGCUUUGGAAGACUCGUAGGGCACAUAGCUGCAUGUCAGCCUAUUUCAAUUAGUGUGUUGAAAUGGCGGAUUACACAUCUCUAUAAAAAUUAAAUUGGUCUCAUCUCUGAAAUUACAACAAGCCUGAGGAUCCAAUCAGAAAAUCAAUUCUUGAGCACCUCAGUUUCAGGGAGGACUGAAAGGCGUUGUACCACUGUUUCUGUGCCCCACUGCUGAUUCUGGCCCCCACUCUCACGAUACCAAGCACCACAGACAAAAGAAAGCAUUACAGACAGCAAUCUCCAACACAUGUGUUAAGGGAGCUGUAAUGCCAGGGCCUGAACUGAUGAUUGAGCACCUGGUGAAGGGGCGGGCCAGCCCAGGAAGCACAGGUGCAAGCAAUUCACCCGUGCCUCCCAUGUGACCAGAAGAGGUAGGCCCAGGGCCCAUCCCCACCUGAGCUCAUUUAAGGGCUAGCCUCUGAGAGAGGGUGCACGUCUCCUGGAUGAAUGCUGCUUUCUAAGGAGUGCUUUGUAGCUAUAGACGGGAUCAUCAGUUGGGAGACUCAGAUUUUGGCUGCUUGUUUGGCAGGAUAACCUUACCAAUAUUCAAGACUGUACCGGUAAAGGAAGCCUUCUGAAUGUUUUCUGCCUCUUCAGUCUCUGUUAGAUAAGUAACAGUGAUUAUGGCACUACUUUGUGAUAAUGAAACCUCAGAGCAUCCCUCCAGCACCACCACCCAUCCAACUGGCAUCUAAAAGCCCAUCCAGGAAGUCUGCUUCAAAGUGGCUGCGCCCUCACCCUUUGCCCUGCACCUUGUCGCAAGCAAUGUUUGCAACAUGUGAACCCCUUAUCUUCAUAUCCAGGGCCCCACUCAUAAGGUGCACAGGAUGCCCUACUUCCUCUCACACAAAAAUAAGGAGGUCCAUUUUAAUGUGUUUUUUUUAAUUGUCCCCAGACAGAGCUCCACUGAUUCUUAAAACAUUUUGUUAAGUUCAGAACUUUAAAAAUUCACAUACAAACGUAGUCCAUGCGAAAAGCUUACACUGUAAAUAAGGUUGUAAAUUCUUAUUAAUAACAUCAGGCAACAAAAAGCCAAUACGGGAAUGAAGUUUGAACAUUUUAUUGGCUCUUUUUUCUUCCUUGAGCAAGAAUUAUUUCUAAUGCAAGACGAAGUGUUGGAAGAUGUGAUGAUCCCUUUGGCUUUUGCCUAGAAGCUGUUGUGAGGAUUCUUUAACUGUGAGACUUCCAUGGUGGCCCCAGUGCUGCAGUACAUCUGGCUGAAAAGAUUUCCUGUAUUUUCCUAAAAGGAUGCUGUUAUUGUUCCUGUUGCCCUGGCCAUUUCCAAGAGCCUUUCAAAUGAACCCUGGUCCCGCAUGAGUGUGGCAAGGCAGACACUUAAAAGAUGACAGGAAACAUUAAAAUCAAAGCUUGGUGUUGCAGGUAUUCAUAGUCACCGGACUAUGGGAAUCUUUUAGUGCCCUUAAUCCACACUCACCAUGCACUUGAAAUAACCGUGCACUCUGAUGCUCUCAAACUGUAUUCCUUUCUCAUAGGAAAUGAGAACCACAUAUGUUUAAUAUACUAACAUGUGCAAUGCUCGCUCAGUACAUGUGGCUCACGGCUGUGAUCAUAGGCUUUCCUCAAGUUAGCUCUUCAAAUCAGAAAGUGGUGUCACCCUUUCACCUCUGGAUAUCCUGAGAGCCCACACUUACACAGCUUCCUUCUGCUCACUGGGUUAACGGUGGUGCUGAGUGGGGUCUGAGGUUGGUUGCAGGGAGGUGGCUGGGUGUGUUGGUGUGUCCAUGUGCACCAGGAAUGGCAUGGUCCUGUUGAGAGAAACUGUGCUGCAGGCUAAAAGAUCUGCCCCAGCUCUUCCAGAGGAGUUUUCAAAGCUGAGUGGAGCAUGUUUGACUCUAGCAAUGUUUUCUGAGGAAUCUCAGCUUCUGGCUGUUAUUGCUUGGGCUGGGACCAGGUGGCUUGUACCUUGUGAAUCAGGAGCAGUGGAAGGGUUGUUCUUACUUGUUGGAAAAUGAGGAAAAGAUCCUGUGUACGCUGUUCCUCAGCUAAAAGUAUCCUUAAUGGCAAAGCCUAAGAACAGCAAAAUGAAUGUGUUUUGAAGGGGAUUCAAACCUCCAAGCGUAGUGCCUCGGGUGGCAGGACUGCAGGCUGUGUGUGAGCACCCUUGGAUGAAUGCAAGGAGUCUGCUCUGUCCAGGCCUAAGCACAGCUACCUACACUGAUGUCUUGAGCUUGCUCCGGCCUCACUGCAAAGUGACUAUCAACAGUCACCAGCUUUUCUGUUCACCCUCUAUGGGGAACAAAACAGCUGGUGUGAGCCCAUAAGGCUGGCUACAGUAUAUGAGGUGGUAGCUGCCUCUCUCCACUGUAUGUUUACAUAUAUUCUUAGUAGAAAGGCAUAAAAAAAUCUACUUCUACAUCCCAGAUCUUUCUAUCUGCAAACGUGCAAGGAAAGUAGAUUUUUGUGCAGAGGAUCUGUCUAUUCCAGGUUGCAGAAUCGACAGUCUUUUCAUUGUUUAAUUCACAUGUGUGCAAAUUUAGGGGCUGUGAAAGCAUUGGCAGCCGCUGCUCUGGAAGUUGUUCUCACUGCUGAGGGAUUUAGGCAGCCAGUUAUUGUGGAGGUUGGCAAUCCCUUCCAAGAGUGCGAGAUCUAGGCCAGGACUUCGGGCAGACCUGUGUGUGCUAUUAGAAAGCAUAGGUUGUGUGCAGUUAGCCUGGGAGCUGGAGAGCAGCGCUGCAGCCCUGCCUGUGUCCAGUGGCUUUAAUAAAGAAUCCCAUUUAUAUUCAUUACUGCAACCAAACCCUGUCUCUAAUCUAUCGCAGGGGACGCUACAGAUAUAUUAUUUCUUUGCAGACUCAAAAUGCUUAGAUGGUUUUUAACCUUAUUAAAUCUAAACCCCUUAAAUGUGCUUCUGAAGCAAAACUUUUAGCAAUAAGCUUCCUAAAAAGUGUAAGAUUUACACAGCAGAUUUAUGGCUGCGCAGCAAGUAAAGUAACACUUCUCUCAGCAUAUCAUUUGCCGAAAUUAGAGGAAAUUCCCUACUUGAACGGAACAAGGAGCAUUAGGAACACAUCUACUGUGCUUGUAAAGCAAGUUGUUAGUGCCUAGCAAGAAAGACAGUAAAGUGUUAAUCUACCUAGAUGAUUUUCUAAUAGUUGCUACACUUCAGGAAACAAUAAAACUUUAUUUGAAUUACAGAAAGCACCAGAGCCCUCUGCAUUUCAGACAUGGGAAUAAAAUUGGUCAUAACCUCCCAGAAACAGUAUCUCUAUUUUUGAAGAGAACCAACAGCCUGAGUCUCUUAAAAGGUUAACAGCACAAUCACAGGAGCCACCGCCCCAUGAAACUGUGCUGCUUCUGAGGGAGCACAGCACAUCUCAGUAUUUACAAAUACCGGAGCUGAUGCCAGUGAGGAUCAGCCUAUGUUUCACAGAUAGCCUGAUGCACGUGGCAGGUUACUUUGGAUGAAAUAAGGCAGCUGGGUGAAAGAGCUACAGGUAGUGGUCAGUCUAAAACUAGGAGAAACCAGAACCUUCAAGCCAUAUACAGCAUCUUUUUGGUCAGAAAUGAUGUCAAUCAUUAGGUGAAUAAGAAGAUGCAUUGUGAAUCAAAUUUUUUUUUGCUAAAUUGCCUAAGGAAAGGAAAAUUAUUUGGUUCUAGAAAAUAUUGUAUAAACUGGACUUUGCUUUCAGCAUUUGGUAAAUAGUAUAAUAAUGCAGAUGUUUGUUCAUUUUUUUGUUUCUCCUGCAUUUUGAGGCCACAUGUUUUCAGUCAAGUUUUGGAGACGUUUUCUGAGCUAAGUGUAUUUUUUUGGCUAUCAUGUUAGAUACUGUCAGCUGGAAUCUAAGAAAGAGGGGAGCUCACUAAAAGAGGUUUCCGAACUUACAGUACUUCAUUUUACAGUCUUAGUAAAAGUAAAAUCCUAUGAGAUAUUAUAAAGGUAGAAGCCAAUAAAUGGGACAGGAAGAACGGCCUUAGAAAAAUCAGUGUCAUUAUCUUGGAAGCAGUGACUCCUCUCCAUGUUUGAAGCAAAAUGGAUUCAACAGUGGAGCCUCCUCCCAGCACCAGGAUCUAGGGGAAGGAUGUGUAUUUUCUGGCAGUUUGGCUGCAUGUGCUUUCAGAAAAAUGGAAAAGCUGAACUCUGAAAUCCGGUAGCCAGACACAACAGGAAAAUAAAAUUGUCUCCAGGCAGACUGGUAAAAAAUAUAGCUGAAGGAUAAGUUUUCCAUGGAGAAGGAAAGCAGAAGUUGGAUGAGAGUGUUUUUUCUCCACCUGCCUGUUUAUGAAAAUAGUGUUCAGAGUGACCUGGAAGCAUCUCAGUUAUGUGUAAAUGCUCCUCUGUAGUUGUUUCCUCUUGUUUUAAACACAGAUCCUUGAGUGGGCCCAUACUGCUAUUGUGUAACAGAACACAUGGUGUAUGUGAUGCUACAUAGAUCAACUUUUCUGGUCUCAGCAGUGGUAUUUUCCACAUACCCAUCAUCAGCAUGUCUAGGGAGAAAGGUUUUCCAUGAGCCACAGGGACACAUAAUUUAAUCAGUUAAAAUUGCAUAAUAUUUGUAAAUUUUAUACUAAUUGGAAAACUAAAUGCAAUAAAAAAAUACCCAAAUUGGUUUAUAAUAUACAUUUCUAUAAAUACAAAUUGUUUACAUAAUAUCAUAUACAAAAACUGUGUGGUUAGACCCACAAUUCUGAGGAAUCUUUAUGUGCUUUUAAAGAUCCAGGUGUUUAAAGUACCACUCUUUGAAUUGUAUUUAAGCCUUUAAGCUUUUAACUUGGCAAUAGAUCCACCGGCAAUGAGGUCUGUAUUACUCUGGAUGGAAUCUUCUAAAUAUGUAUUGCUAUCAAAGCAAUUGAUAUCAUCCUUAAUGUCUGGUCUCAUCACACACUUUAAAGAAGAAAAUCUCAGGGUGUAUUUGCAAGCUUGGCACUUGGCAGAAAGAAGACUGUGAAGUAAUGGAGCAUCAUUUGUUCUGGUUGUUGCUGUUAUUCCCAAACAUGUGAGUGGUAGACCAGCUUUGUUAGGUUGUGGAGCAGUUAAUCAGAGGAAAGUCCUGGAUGCUAAUACACUGAUUCAUGUGUAACUUGCAGGGAAUCCAUGGACUUGUUCAGCUGCCUUCCAGCUGAACUGACCUCCACAGGAGAUGGCAGGUUGUGUCUCCUCUGUUUGUCCCUGCUCCCUAGGACAGGUGGCACUGCCUUCCUGAGACCCCCAAUGGUGGUGGCUACACUGUGGGUGUUUGCACUGCAGCCAGCCCCUGAGACACCAGACCCCCUCUUCUUUCCUAAGUGAAAACACAGGAAGAAGAGUUCAAAUAUUUCUGAGGGAAUUCUGCCAGAUAUUCAUGUAUCUACAUUUUCCGCUCACUCAAGGGGAGCAGUGGUAACCAACGUACUAAAAGUCUUCAAAUGCUGACAAAUACAAUUUAGCUUUGAAGGCUGCCAGCAAUUCUGUGGUAGUAAAUCCCAUUUGCAAUCAAAGGGUGAGUCAUUAGCCUUGACAUUUGAGAAAUGGAGAUUACUAUGAAUUUAUGAAAAAGGUUCCCUAAAAUGUUUCCUUAGCAACUGCUGCUGGGGAGCCUGGGGCAUCUUUCAGGUCCCUAGGCUCAGGGAAGCCGGCAGCAGUGGAGCAGACGGUUUCCUACUCCCUUGCUGUAUGUAGUGCUAAGUGUUCACAAUCCCUUUCCACUCAAGUCUUCUCUAAGAGAGGGAAAAUGGUGUUUUCUUCAAUUCAGUUAUCUUUACUGAGCUAGCUUCAUGUAACUGAAACUAUAGCAAUGAACAUGUAUCGCAAAACAUGGGAUGUUGAACUCAAGCCAACACAAGGCAGUGGGCAGCUUUGCUAGUCACAAACAUACAAGAAGUAAUGUGACAUGCUGAAUGCAGGGGCAACAAGGUAACAUUUGAUUUUAAAGGGAUUCUGGGAAAAAUAAAUAAGAGAGAACUUCUAAUUCUCCAUGUGGCUUAUGUUUCUGAAAUGCUUUGAAGUCAUCUAGUCAGUCGUCUUCACAGACAUAAGUGUUAAACAUUUCCUGUUAUGAGAAGAGGAUGGAGUGAUGAAGAUCUUCCAUCCUUAGGGAAACUGCAAUCAAACCACUGGCAUACUGUAACACAACCAGUUAAACUAAGCUCAAAGCAGUUAAUAUGGGUAAGUCAAUAAAAAUAUUUUGGCUGGCUGUUGCAUCAGUAAAGAAAGAUAGAAAACCUUGGAAUGAGUAUGUGGGAAGCUGGGAAGGAGGAGAGGAAAUGAGGGCAGGUGGAGAAGCCUGGAUAGUCCUUGGAAGGCUAUUUUGGUUGGAGGCAGCAGACACUGGAGGUUAGCUGGGAGGAAUCCUGUGUGUGUACUGUAACAACUUCUGUAUCUUGCCUCUGUCAGGUAGGCUGGUAAACCAGAGAUUAAUCCCAGGAGAAGCUGGACAUUUGCAAAGCUGUGCAGGCAUAAUCUCAUCUCAUGGAAUACAUAGAUCAGAGCAGAAGGUUUCUUCUAGACCUAGGGAUCAUGCCUCAGUGAUGGUAUCUGCAACUUCCUGCCUAGCACUACUGCGUGCUUUGGGUUGUAUUUAAGAUAUUACACAAGAUUCUACUUUUCUGCUUCCCAAAAUCGAGCUUCUGUUUAUGCUAUCUCCUGUUCUGGUAACAUCCUGUAUUUGUAUAGGAGAUUUUUUUCUUUCCCUCCGGAUUUCCUGAAUUAACUCAAAAUCUAAAUAGUACAAUUAAAAUUCUUAAUAGCUUCUAAGGAAAAGAUACUACUGUGGAUGUGAACCACAAUACAAACAUGGGUGUAAAUCAUACACUCAUUUCUUAGUAAUUUUACGAGAAUGCAGGGGAUGUAUUCCAUUUUUCAGAUCUUAAUUACAAAGAAAUUGAUUUUUUUAAUGAAAAAAAAUGUCCUUCUCUCUUUUCUUCUCUAUGAAAUGAGAUACUCUCUAUCUUUCCAUUGCUCCUAUGCUGUAUACCCAAGGAGAACAGUCUGUCAUUCCACAAACUCUCCUGUAUUUUAUGGACUCAACAUUGCUAUUCAUCUCAGGCAACUGCAGCCAAUCUUGGCUGCCAGGUGAAACAUGAUGUUGAAACAGAGAAACAGUCUUGAAGAAAUACAAGCUCUUAAACCAUGAAUGGCUUUGUGGAUCAAAAAUGCCUUUUUGAAUUACACCUGAAAAUGGAGAUCAGCAAAAUCUCUGGAGCAUGGUGAAGGAGGAGCUGUGCCGGACAGGCAGUCCCACCCUUGCCUGCCAAGCAUUUUGCAGGUCUGCUCUAAGCACAUCAGUUAUGAUUAGGAGCAGCUGCAAACUCAGCCCAGUGCAGUGCUCCCAAUAAAUUCCAGAUGAUGAAUAUGAUGCAGACUUACUGGAAGAAAAAUAUAUUUCUGAAGAGAAAAACAAUUACUUCUGAAAGCAAGACAAUGGAACUGAACUGAUGCGACGUUGGGCGUAAGAUAGAACAGAACUUUAGGGCAAUGGCUUUAACUUCUAAAAAAAAAAAAAAAAUCACCUACCUGGAAAGCCUUUUCUAGACUGUAUUUGGAUGCCUCAGACCUAAAGUACUUCCAGAGUUAAACUUGAAAAAUUAUGCAUUUCACUCUUGAUUUCUCCCGAAAAGGACAGUUACUUUGUUCUGUCAUUAUCUCACAGUUUUAUGAUUAGCAGAAAGGUGCCUUUGCUGCCCCCAAACAACAUGUAUGUCGUUUCACAGAAGUGCAAAAAGGCUUAGUAACACCACUUGAUGCAGUGGGUUUCAUUGGCUGAAUCUUCAGCGGGGACUUGAAGGAAAUUUGCAAAAAACAUGUCAAAAGUUAAGUGGUGAAAAUCAGCUUAAAUGCCUAAUUUUAAUUUUGUUUGUGCUCUUUGUUGUUUCAUUGUAGGGAGAGGGAAGAAGCUGUCUUUCUCUCUGUCCUUUCAUUUUGGUUGGGAGAAAAUGGAUGUUGGUGAAAAGAAGAGAGCUCUGACAGGGACUGGGAAGGGGUUGUUUAUUCUGUUUUCUUUUCUUUAGAAAGGGGCAACUCUUCUAAAACUGGUGAUGAUCCAGUUAGAGGGGGACUUGGGAGGGGAGAGAAAAGAAAACUAAUAAUCAGCCUCUAAAUGACAAGUUUCCUCUUGAACAAAAGAGCAACAGGAGGCAGUGCAGGCGGGGGUCCAUGCCCAGGGGUAACGUCGCCAAAACAAUGGCUGGAGAAUGUGCAGCUUUUGCCACUCCAGGAUCUACUGCCCCAGUGUGUUUGCUGGCAGGCUGGAAGGAUCCAACCCGACCAAAGGCUGGGUGAUGUGCUGAUGCCACUUCUGGAGUCCUCCGGGGUGAAAUGAUUGAGUGCUAGUAAGGUAAACAAGGAAAGAGGACUGCAAGAGAGUCUGGCCCAGAAUGACAAGUAUGAAUAGCCUCAACAUAGCCCCUGUCAGUGAAGGGACUACAGGUGGGCCUCAGAGUGAGUUUAAUUAAAGAUGACUACUGCUCUUUAAUAUCUGUGUUUCUCUUGCAUUUAUUAACUGUCUUCUGGGAGACACUACCAGUGCCAGAUAAACUGAAAUGAGAUGAUUUUAAAUUAUUGAGUGUUCACACAGAAGUUCAUUCUGGUUUAGACUAAAUUGGUUUUAAUUUAAAUUCAUGUAACUUCUGUGUAGAUGAGGCCUAUGGUUUGCCAUUUUGCAGCAGUGGUGAAUUUAUAGCAUGCUUGCUCCAAACGUGCUGUCAUGCAAAUUCUCUUGGCAUUUAGUCCAAGUCCAGUUCCAGCUGUUGGUGGAGAUGGAGGAGCAGAAUGGACUGCUCACAUGGCCUCCCAUGUAAUGCAGAUUGGAUCUAUUGUCAGUCAGAUGGACUGGUGUUGUGGGAGCAGUGUGAAGCCAGUUCUUUCACUACAUGGUGUGUAAAGCAAUGAGGCAGACAAAAGCUGGAUUUAAAUUAGGGAAUAUUUCUGCCAAAUUUCAUUCUCUGAAGCACAGAAAUAAAACGUUUAAUGCAUCUGGCAAUGUUUAUUCUGUGCACAGUGUUCUAGCUGAUCAUAAAAGAAAAGCUACGUGUGAACAUUAUCUAGAAACUUCAUCGUAUUCAGAGAAGAGAGAGCAUGAUUUUGCUGCAGUCUCUGAAAAAGUAUUUGACUGUGAAAGCGGAUACAGUUUGGCAAGAAAACAAGGCAACAAGGGGAAAAAAAAAAAAAAGGAAAGAAAAGGUUAUUUUUCAUUUGGUAGGAAUUAACUGUUACAAUCAGAGCAAAUUCUUAUCUCUAAGACAGGCUCCAUUUUGAAAAUCCUCAGCAUCCUCUACACCCUGCAACAAUGGUUGGUUGUUCCCACGUUGACUUUUUGCUGUGUUUUCAUAGGAAAACAAGAUCUGAAUGGCUGGAAAAUGCGCAUGCUGCUUGUGCAGCAAUGAGGUGUGCAUGAAAAUAACAGAACUGCUUGCCUGUGCACAGUGGGUAUCUCUGCUGAUAAGCGAGCAGUAACUCCUUAUGUGCAUAAUUGUCCUUUUGAAAAUUUGGCCCUGAAUUUCUACUGGUGAAGUUUCACUUGUGUUUUCCGUGACUUUUCCAGUUUCUCCUUAGAAUUUUGUGCUCGAGUCAUCCAUUACCUUGUCAGAAAUAGAAGGCAGUUCUAAAAAUAAUUUAAAGAAAGAACACUAGACAAUUUUUAAUUACAAAUGACUGAAACAGCAAGAAUUAGUUAAUGUGAAUGAAAACAGAGUUGUGCAAUCCAAAUAAGAAUGUCAAGAAUAACAAAUCUGUAACUAGAUUUGGAAAAAUAAACAAUGCUUUCCUUUUACAUAAUAAAUGUGGUGUGGGUAGUGAAAAAUAACAUUAAAAAAAAUGCUGUAACAUGUUUUUAUUUCUAUUGGUUCAAAACAGCAUUUGCUUCCUGAAAUUAAAUGGAAUCCAAUUGAGGUUCUGUCCUUUCAGAGACCUAGUCUUGUACAAGGUAAUGCAUUAGUGACUACUCUAUUGAUAUUGUAAUUUUUCUAGCAUACGUAGAAAUUGUCAUAUUGCAAGUUGGUGGGGCCCUUGAUAUUUCACAAAUUGGAGAUCAUUACAAGUGUUUUCCAUGCCAGAGCUAUACUAAUUGUGACCAUGUUGAUGACAUCCACCAUUCUACUUAAAUAGAAAAUCGCUGCUUACUAAAGAAGUUGGACUUAGCUUAAGUCCUUGGUGACUGAUUUGAUUAGUCCAUUUGAGUGAGAAUAGGGCAACACAGGGGCUAUGUUAAUGUAACUUAAACAAUAGGCCAUCACUAAUCAGAGACCUCAAGGUUGAAGUGAGGUUAAUUGUUAUGCGGGUGGUAUUUGAAAAGAAGUGUUGACUGGUGUAAUGCACUAUGGGACUGUAGUAUUUGAACAUGCAGCCCUAAGGCCAGAGGUUUUGUUUAGUUUCCCAAUGAAAUUUAAAGCUACAUUAUGUACAUCUCUAAACAACAGCCUAUACGCUACUGCCUUUUGAUACAUCACAAGAGCAACUACUAAUUGAUAACAGAAAUGAGCCCCCAGGCACAACAUUCAGAUCCAAAUCUGGUACUGGAUUUAAAUCCCUUUCUAAAGUUGGUGAGGUGGGAAUUGAUUUUGAUUAAGCCCUUCAUGGAAUGAACACGCAAGAUUCAAAUGACUCCUUUCUGCCCCUGAAAGUUUAAGAAAUUCCAAAUUCACAGUUUCAGUUUAGUCUUAUAGUAUGCAUUUAGUUGAAACAUAUGAGCUGACAACAUCUUAAUGCAAAAACAUCUUGGCAUAAUUACAGAGGGCUGUUUAUUGAUAUCAUUGUUCGGACAUGGAUUUAUGUCUCAACGUGAGUGCCAGGAGUUUUAACUAGUUCUCUGAGGAAGUGCAAAUGCAUAUGAAAGUAUUAGUCUUUUUGUCCAUCCAGAAAUUUUGAACCUAUAGAGGUAGAUGUCUCAAGAUCUCUGUAUACUUUGUGAAAGUAGCCUUGUCAAGGACAGAGAUUCUUAGUGAUCUGAGAGGGUUGCAGACUGGGCAGACAUUGUGUGUAAUAUAUACCUUACGCUAUUCGGUGUUACAGAAAAAGAUAUUAUAGAUCAGACCAAUACGUGCUUAGGCUCCUCACAAUUUCAUUUCAUGUGGUUCAGAGAAUUUAUUUUCAAUUAAGUAGAGUUUAGACCUCUAGGUUGAAAGUCACCACUGCACAUGAGAUGUAAAACUUUCUGAAAAUAAUGUAUUGUGCACUGGAAGACAGCCUCCUUUUGGUUUGGCUUGAGAACCACUUUGGUACUGGAUUGUGGCUUUAGGCUUACUCUUCUCCAGAGGAAUCUGGUUGGCAACUGUGGACUGGUGAAUGAAGCUCAUCUGGUGUGAAAUGGAGAUCGAUGUGAUGAGGAAGGGAAACAUCCAAACUGUGAGGCAAGAGAGGGGGAAUAACUCUGAAACCACUCAGUAAGAUACUUGACUAUUUUUUCCUUCCAAAAUGUGGGAAUGAAUGACAAAGAUGGGGACAAGAGCUGAUAAAGGUGGGAACAAGGGAAUUUCUGACCUUUUGUCUCCUAUCAGAUCAGUCAGCCAUUUUUUAAAGAAUCUGCUUCAGAAAUCUGACCAGGAAACCCACAUUUCUAUUUCUGUGUAUGUACAGCAGUAUGUGAGGAGGGGUUAUGAAAAUGUUCUGACACACAAGGCAAUCUAGUAUGAGCAUGAGAAAUAAAAGGACAUCUUAACACAAUCACAUGGAAUCUACAAGGUCCUAAGCUGUGAAUCAGGUGCUUAUUCACAAGAAGCCAAUACUGUGCUGUAUUCCCAAAAAGGAAGUGAUGGACAAGAAAAAGACAGAUGCAUAAUAAACAUGCUAGUUGUCCUUUGCAGUCAGCAUCUUUCUCUAAGCAGAAUAUUUUCUCUAUUUUCAUUUUGUCUAUCUAAAUAAUCAUUCCUCCCAAGCAUACCCAAUGUUAGCAAUGUCUUUCUAAUCUGUUCAGAAGUAUUACUGAGUACUGCAGAUAGAGCAGCUGUGGGCCUUACGAAAACCAGCAGCUCAUAGUACCCCACACACCAAAGACUACCUAAAGAAAGUUUAAUUGCAGCCCCAAGGAAAGGAUGGAAGAAGUAUCAAACUGUUAGACACGUUUUGUUCUUUGUAACAAAAGCCUUCAAAUGUAAGUAAAUAAAAUGAGAUAAAUUGAGAAUCACAGCCUCAAAGAGCUGAACGUUCAUAAGUGGGAGCAGCAGCCAAGAGGUGGUUGCAGAUGGUGGUUUUCUCACUGAUGAUGCAGAUCAGCCAAGUGUGUCCAACUGAAGAACUGUCCUGUUGAAUUCAAAUAAGAGGAUUCUAAAGUUCAAAUGAGCUGGCAAAUUGCAAGGAAGAUUCCUCUGUGGAAGGACUUUAUUUCUGAAGAAGAAAAGAAGAAUAGAGAUGAAUGUCCUGCCUCUUGGAGAGCCUUCCCUCUUCUGCAUCGUGGAUGGUAAGAGAAGUGGGAAGCAAAUGUGGAUGAUGGAAUAGGGUUUGUGGUGACAGGUUGUCAGCGAGAAAAUCUUUUAGGCCAGCAUUUUGGUUAGAAAACAACCCGUACUCAGAAUUCACACAAUCCCAGGAUGACUUUGUCUUCCUUUUCUCUUCAGUGUUAAUUAGAAGCUGUGGUUUAUCACUCUAAAUGUCAUUAGUGCUGGAAUUUGCUCCAUACCUUCUGACUGUCCACAGGUCACUGAGCUGAUUUACAAGUCAUGGAGGGAUUCAGGAGGCCGGAGAUGAACUUGCUUAUCCAAUCAAGUGCCACUAAUUGAGCAGUUAUGAAGAUGCCAGUUACAUCUGUUUGGAAAGUAUUCUGAAUUCCAGUCCCACUGUUUACGCAGUUCCACUCCUUUGGCUCUAAGGCAUACAAAAACAAGUGUUAUCCAUGGCAACCAAUGGAAUAAAUAGACUUGCUUUCCCUGGAACUCAGAACUUUCUCACUCCUUAACACACAGCAGCCUCAAUGCUAUAGCCUGAAUUCAGAAAACCCUGUGUAUAUGAUAUGUUCCUAUGGCUGCCCUUUAUAGGACUCCUUUAUUUUAAGUGUGAAAUUCAGCUUCUGUGUUUCUGUCCUAGGACUCUCUCUGGAGCAAUGAGUGAGGUACAACACAUUCACCAUUCCUGUGCACCAUAUCUGUAUACAGUGGAAACCACCUGAUCCCAGUCUUUAAUCUCACUCAUCUUUUAGAGCUGUGGAUAUUCAUCUCUUUGCCAGUGAAGGCCCUUGGAGCUAUUGAUUUGCUCUCUAGAUCCAUUUCAUUACGCUUUGUACUCCAGCUCAGCCAAGCCUCCCAUGGGAUUCAGUGGGAGAGCUGAUAGUGCUGAAAAACUACAUGGCUUGGCCCACGUGCUCAUGCUGGGAAGUGUGACAAGAGAAGCAUUACGUUUAAGGUCUUAACAAGAAAGAGGAGUGCUGUAUAGUACGUAGGACCAAUGCCGGAAGUUGUGGUCCCAUUUCUGUCUUCUUUUCCUCUUUAAAGCCUUCAAAAUAGCCUUCAAAAUAGGCUAGUAUAAAUGUUACAGGCAUCAGAAGUUUAUCUAACAAUUUAAUUUAAUUUGGGAAUAAUAAAAACCUUUCCAUACUGUUAUAUCUUUUCAAAAAUAACAGUAACUUACAAAAAAUCCUUCUGAUUCACAGCAGAGUUUUCUAUUUUGUCAGCACACCACUGAUGAGGGCUUUGAUUCAUUGUACAAUGCCAGUAAAGGCUUUCAGAUGUUUUAAGUAAUUAAAUAUAAAAAUGAUUCUCUAUGAUCCAGAUACACUUUGUGAGGUAGAUUUCAUCUAAAUCAUCUUAUUUCUGUAAAGCAAUCAGCGUAAGGCCAGUGAUGAGAUUAAUUUUAGUCAUUGAGCUAUUUGCUGAUACUGCCUUCCGCCCGAUCUACCCGCAUUUGCAGGUAGUACAAAGCCCUUCACACUGUGGUAAGUAAAACAAGUUUAAAAAAACAAAACCCAAAACCACAAAACUACAGAGUGCACUCAAUAUGAUCAUUUAGUGUUUUCAAAUCAGCUUUCAAAAAUACUGUUUAUAUCCACAAAUUACAAUCUAACUUAAACAAACCUUUCCCUGAGGUGAAGUAAACUCACACCGGACAGCAGACAUUGCUAAACGUGCCAGCUUGCCUGCUAUAUGGCCAAAGUGUUUAUUCAACAGAAGCUUGGACGACAGCCACCACAUCAAUGUCACAGCCUCUCAGCACAUGUGAAGAAAAUACAUGUGAUACAUAGCAAAUUAGGUGUCCUGCUCUAGAAAGAGUGGAAUGGGAUUGAUUUGCCACUUUUAGCAAUGCUCUUUUACUGUCAGCUUGGCUUUGAGAAAAGCAUUAAAGAUUCUUGUCACAGAUGUUUCUUUCAUAAACUGUUGUGGGAGAAUGACAUUCUGCAAAAAUGGUUUACUACUCUGCUUUCUUCUCCUGGGAAAACAAAGCGCGCUAGUCAGCCUAGCCAAAUGGGCUCAAGGAACGCUCUUCAGUUAUACCACAAUAGCAUUAAGGAUCAUGACAUUUACAGAGCUGAUCUUAGAAGCUCUCUUGGCAAAUGUACAGUGUAGAGGUAUUUAUCCAAACUGUGUGCCAUUGAUUUUUUUUUUUUUUUGUCUUGCAUUAGUUCAGUGGGGUAAAACUGGCCGGUUGGGUGUUCAAAACAGAGAAGAUAAAAAGGACUGAGCUUACACACCAUGUAUUAAGUGAAUGGUUCACACUGCAUUUGAGUAAUUAAUCACCUUUAAACAAAACAAAAAAAAAAAAAAAAAAAGAAAAGAGGGAAAUCUACUACAGUACUUAGCAUAGGAAGUUGCAUUUGAUUUUACUCUAAGUUGCUGGAUUGCAUAAAUUGUAGCCAUGAGUUGAGAUUUCAUUUUUGAUGACAAAAUAAAUCUUUGGUCAAGGAAGCAUGUUUUUAAUUGUUUACAUUUAGCUCAGAGAGCUGGGGGAUGGGAAAGACAAUGAAUCUAUUAUUUUUAUGUAAUAAACUUGAAAACAUUUAGAAAAUGCAAAUUUUCUUUCUAAAAGUCAAAAGGUUUGGUAUGAGUAUUUGCUCUGCUAUAAAAAAAAAAAGAGUUACUAUAGCAACAGCAACAUCAUAUAGAAUCUAUGACUUCUAAAGCACAUUCUGAAGAGAAAAAGUUAUCCACAUGUCACAUUAAUUUUCAUCCUUUAUAUAAUGCUAAAUAAGCAAAAAAAAAAUCCUAUAAUGUCACAUAUUUUCUUUUUCCAAUAUUUAUUUUAGAACUUUUAUUCUCAUUACACACAGUCCUACAUUCACAAAAUAUUUUAAAAUUAGAAUAAGGUUUUGAUGUUUUAUAUGCAUGUUGUGGUCCUCCGCUGUGAGUUCCUAGACUAAUUCCUCCUAGAAUAAAGCACCAGUAUGGAAAGACGAAAGAAAUUCGAAGUUUACUGUGAUUAUGAGUAGGGUAAGACCAUCUUGCUGUGUUUGAGUAGCUCCUAGCAUAAGCCUUGUCGUAUAAUGGAGGUCCUUUGCUGCCCAGAACUGAUGCCACCAGGGUGGUACCUGAUGCUGGAGUGGAUAUUUAGGGACAGCAGGCAGAAUUUGCUUCUCCUAGAGCAGUCUUAAAUAAGAUCAUCAUCAUCUAUGCCUAAGUGCACGAGGCUUGUUAUAUAAAGUAAUGUUUUCUAGAAUAGGAGUGCUUGUGGCUGUAGAGAUUUUUCUUGGGCAACAGCAGUGAAAAUCCGUUGUCAGUCCAGCCCUAGCAGCAGAUAUGCAGGUGAGCAGAUAGAAAUGGGGUGUUAGGUCAGUUUGCACAGGCAUAUGAUUAGUUGGCCAAACUUGUUUUUGUCAGUAGGACAAUUUAACGUGCAUCUAUUUAAAAUGAUGGUGAGGAAAAGGUGACUCAAGUUUCACAAAAGUAGAAAAUUAAUGGAAGUAGUUCUUUCCCUGCCCUACCAGAUAGGAAAUCUCAAAGGAACGUCACUCUACUCUUUGUUCCAGCACUCUAUGGGACUCCACGAUUAGUUUCCUCAGGGAGAACCUUUCUUUCUACAAGCUGAUGCGGUUUGUUUUAUUUCUAAAGGUGCAGCCUUGUGUCCUGGAAAUAGGAUACUGAUAGAAAUAUUUUAUUUAAUUUGAAGCGAUGACCAUGCGGUCCUUUCAUUAGGAAUGCAGUUAUACUGCAAAUACAUGCUUUAGUUCUAAGCUGGCUUGAUUCCCAGAUUGCAAUGUGGUAAGACUUUUGAUUUAAGAUAUUAAUCAAAUGACAAGAAUUUCAUGUGAGAUAUACUUUUAUAGAGGGUCCAUGUAAUCUAUAUCUUUCUUUUCUACACCAUUAAUAUAUUCGGGGCUGCCUUUUCUUUUCUCCAUCUAAAUGUCAACAAGUGUGAUUGAGUAUAAGCAAGAAAUUAGCGUUCCUUCUUCAGUAGUAUCUCAGCACAGAGGAGAAUUUCCAGAGCAGGCAGUGUCAUCACUUUUAGACAGACUGUUCCCCAAAACCAGCAAUACUGGAAUUCUGUGUCAGCUUAAGACCGACUUUCUGACUGGGGGAAUGACAAUUCCCUGGCUGUAGUCCACAAAAUAUACCCUUGGCCAAAGAAUUCCCCAGUUCCACAGGCUGAAAAUCACUCUAUAACCACUCAUGAAAUCGUUUCAGUGCAUGUUGACAUAGCUCCUAGGGAGGAACAGCAAACAAUAGCCUGCAUCCUCCCCAUGUCUGCACUGAGGGAGAAAGAGCAAAACGAGUGUGUUCAUUACUCAUGACACACGCACGCAUGAGAUAGCAGCUGACAGUAUCUGACAAGCUGCAAUCACAAGUACCCGACAGCACAUCGAUCGGGUCCUGUGUGACUUUGCCAUGGGAGGACGGACACCACUGCUGGCUGCCUGGUGAGCGGAGUGUACCUGGCAAUAUAUGUGGCAACGUGCUACCCCUGCCUGGGUGCCUCUGCCUGGCCUUUACCCCAUGGCUUCAGCAUGUGGUAUGGAACAUUUAAUAAAAAACUUCCCAAUGAAGUGAUGAAUGGCUAAAAUAUGUUACAUGUGUUUCAUGUGGAGAAAAAAAAGGAAGAGAGAGAAAGGGAUAAAACUAGAGACUUGGUUACAGAGCAGACCUAUCCGGUCAUGUAGGAGUUAUGAAACUGGAUUUUUUAUCAGGAGUUACAUCAGAUUCAGAAUACUAAGCAAACAAAAUGCCCACACAAUGCUGUAGACAAACCUGGAAGGAACUGCAUCACUGUUCAGCUCCCUGCCUCGUUUAAUGUUUUUCUGUAUAGCCUUCCCUUAUCAUUGCCAUUUUCUCAAAAACCUUCAAGCGUGGACACCCAUCUUCAAACAUGCUUGAAAUGAUUUUGUUAUGUCUGUUUUAUGACGCAGACACUGUGAGUCUGAAAUUCCUUUCCUGGUGCUGCUGUGUUGACAGGUAACAAAGAAAGAGAGAAAAUUAGCUAUUUAAAAGCUUUCAAAGUAUGUCAUUGCUGAAAAUAAUGUGGGAGCAUCCAAAAUAUCCUCAGUAAUAUUAUCUCUUGUCUGGUUGCUUUUCUUUUAUUAGUUUAUUCCACAUCACCAUUUCAUCUUAAGAUUUAUGUCUGGCUAGCACUUAACACAACACAUGAUGUUGAUAUAAAAUUUUGAUCCCCCAUUUAGAAAAAUGGGGACUAGUCUUAAGUAAAAUGAAUUCUGCAAAAACACUGAGUAGAUCCACAGAUGGUGUAAAUUGUCUUUAAUGAAGUUCAUAAACUUGAAUUAAAGUCUCCCAAGUGGCUGUGUAGUUUGACUACAUUCAUCCCUCUUUUUGUCUGUGAAUACUUAUUCAGGAGGGAUUUUGCUGGAGGUAACAUUCAGGAAUAAAUAUUCUUUAGCUAAAGGCCCAAAUUCUCACAUAUGUCCUACUACAAUGUCUCGUAACCAAUUUCUCAUUAUCAGACAUUCAUUUUUUAGAUUUCCCUUCUUUUACUGACUACACAAACAGGAGAAUGUGAAUUUAAAUAAACACAUAGUGAAAAAUAUGCAAAUACCCAGGCCACUCUAAGAUUCUAUGAUUCUCUGAAAUACCUACAGAUUGAACUUUGAAAGCAAUGUAGCUGUGUGUAUAUACAUAUACAAACAUAUACAGACAGUAUCUGUCUCUCUAUGUAUAUGUGUGUAUAUAUAUGUAUAUAUACAUAUGUAUAUAUAUAGCGCCAUCUCAGUGAAGAAUAGACUAGGGAAAAAAUUACCUGUACUUGAUUUUUUUUUUUCAAAUAAGAAAAGGAGUUAAAUAUAGGUGAUAAAUUGUUCACAAUUAAUAAUGUAAAUGUGCAUAUAUCUCAGAUGUAUUGUCUGUGCUGUUAGUGAAACCAGAUUUCCUAUUUCUGUGUCAGUAUGUGCAUCUUUUGCUUUCCAUAAAACAUUACAUGGCUGUUGAGUCGAUUGGUAGCUGGAGAACUAAUAUAAACUCAUAAAUGAUAGACAUCUAUAUUGUAAUGAAAAGGUCCAACCAAUUGAUGAGUGGGCAUAAUGCCAUUCAAGCAGAUGGGUCUGAGCAUCAGCAGCCAAAACAUCAAGUAAGUCCAUCAAAUGGAGAUGUUGAGGCUGGGUAGAUUUCACAGCCAGGAACACUGAAUGUUAAGACAGUGUAAUUAGCAGAAUAUGACACCAUUAAACCAGCUGUGGGCUGGAUUAAUUCUGAAAAAUAUAAUAAUUACCUUCCACGUUAUAGAAGGGAGAGCCUGAAAAGAUGUCUGUUUUUAACAGGAUAUGACAUAUGGAGGUUGAGAUUUCCAAAUCAGGAGUUUGAGGUUUCUCUGUCAUGAGGAUUCAUAGCACAGUUCUGUAUUUCGGUAUUUCCAGGCUUAUGUAAGGAGAAAUACUUCCUUGCCUAACACGAAUGGCAUGCUACUGCUGUAGAAGAGGCAGCCUUCCACAGGAAAGCUCCAGCUAACAAGAACAAAGCUCUUCUUCCUGGAUAGCAUUUGCCAGGCAGAGUAGUAUAGUGUCUGAACACAGCUUUUACUGAUUAAAGGUUAAUUUACUAUACAUCAUAAUUUAGUCAUCUAAUAAGAGAGUAAAAACAAGAAAAUGUGACUUUAACUAAGUAACUUGUGUAAAUUAUAUCUGAUAAAACCUACAGGAAUUCAAAUUAUAUUUCAAUUCCCUAAACUUGCCACCCCAGAAACUAUGAAUUACUCUCCUUUCUUAACACAAAACAGAUUUUCUAGAAGAUUAAUGGGAAAUGUGCAUUGUUUAUAAUAACUCAUAUUUCAUAAAUUAGCAGUGAUCAUAUUCUGGUUUCCAUCUGCAUGCUUAGUUUGUUUCUCUCCCAGAGACACAGAGAAAAUUACUCCUCAGACAUUCGCCAAAAAGGCAAAGAGAGGCGUGGUUGUUUUGCAGGCACCACUCUGCCAGGGUUUUCUUGGGAUGGGAGCUUUGAUAUUUGCUUGUGGUAUAAAAAGAGCUUUCCUGGAGAGGCACCAGAAAGAGUAGUCUGAAUGAUGCCUCCUUCUCCUGCACUGCCUGUCAUUCUGCAACAAACUCUCAGGACUUAAGUGAUUUAUUGAGAAAAUAACACAAAUGGUAAACUAAAGAGUGCUUUCAAGUAAAAAAAUUAGCAGCAAGAGAAGUUAUUGAUCAAACUGGAGGAACCAGAGCUGCAUAUGUAGUCCCAGAACUUCAGAAUUGUUGGAAUAACUGACACGUGGUGGGAGAGUUAUGUGGGAGAAGUGGAUGGAUGGAUGCAUGCUCUUUGGGAGGGGCUGCCUGUAUGUGAAGGAACAGCUUGGAUGAAUGGCGUAGCUCUGGGAGAUGGGCAUCAGGCUGGUGAGGGUUCGAGGAUCAGGAUGAGAAGAAGGUCAUUGAGGGUGUUACUGUGGAGCCAGGAGCUGGAUGGAUCUAAUGAUCCUUGUGGCUCUCUUCCAACUUCGGAUGUGAUUCAGCGAUAACUGUAGAAGCAGUGCAUUGCAGACCAGUCAUGGCAAGUGGGUGGAUGGAGCCUCCUUUAAACAAAUCAGGGCAGUCUCCCUAGCCUCUGGUUGAGGUUGUGGUAGACUACUCAGAGUGCUCCCAGCUUGGCUGUAAUCUUGCUGCAUACACAGUUCAGCAAACCCAGGAAGGACUUACCUCAGACCUUGCUGCUGAAUUUAGACUUCCUUUUCUCUCCACCACCAGUUCCUGAUUGGAAGGAAUCCUCUGACUGGACAAUGUAGCCAGACCAACAGAUGAGUCUUCAAGAAGCUUGUUAAAAUGAAGGUCCUAUGCUGCAAUGGAUGCUUGUUCUGACUUCCCAGAGGGGUUACUUAAGGAUGAGGGAGAUGAACUGCAGUGAAAACUGAAAAAGCACCAUCAUUAAAAAACAAAAGUAGAAAGCAAAAAAGAUCUUAUCUUUAUGUUUCAACGCUUUCCUACUCCACCCCAAUGUUUAUAUAUAAUAUAUUCUUCGUCACUUAAUAGGCUUAUAAUAUCACCAUGGGAAAGCAAGAUGAUAUACUCUCAGUGCUUAUUAAUAGACCACUAAUCACAGAACAGCAAGAGUUUGGUUGACCUGGGGAUAUUCCAGCAAAUGGAAAGUAUUUAAUUUUUUUUACCAUUUAUAUGGUAUUAUGUUCACAUGUAAUUUUCAGAAGCAAAAGCCAAGUCCUGGUCUGGCCCUUGCAGACCUGUUGAAAAUGAAUUAUCAAGGCAACUCUCAAAGACAGUUCACAGUGUAAGGUGGGAUGUGACAAAAACAAACCUAGCACAGCAUGGUGCAAUCUUUAGAGAUGAUGGCAUGUUAAUAUUAGUUUUUCAAGAGACUGGAAGUUUGAAAAACCACAGCAAACAUUUUAUUUUUUUUCAUUCGCGCUACAUGGUUUGAUUGAGGGGCUUGGAGCAGAGGUUGUGAAGGUUAACCACUCUUAAUUUUUUCAUCCAAUAAACUAAUCUGAAACAUAAUGACAAAAAGUAUGAUAUAAUUACUGUAACCAUAGCAAAGGCUACUUAGCCUUUGGCUUUCUGUUUCACAGCCUACCUCUGGUGUUGUGGUAUCUUCAUAAUAUCACGUUACCUAAAUUUAUUUUCUUAAUAGCCGUAAAGCUUGAUUUCAUCCACUGUAAGAUAUGCUAAUUGUGAGGUCUUGAAGAAAUGCCUCAGCUGAGUUAUGUGAAAUUAAUGACAGAACGAGGCAAAGGACUGAUUCUUAGAAAUUUGAAGAAAAGGGAAAACUGAUUCUAAGCUUGCAACAUUUCCAAUGUUGCUUUAGCAAGUGUAGUUGAACCAACUGUUUUCUUUCUUUCUUUUUUUUUUUUUCUUCAGCAGGGCGACAGGUUUUAAACAGAAAAGUUGACAAAGCCAGCUUUCAUUUUGAGUAAUCAAGACUGUAAGGGAACUGAUGAUUGAGCAGGUGGUGGUUGGCCCAGGAAACAGGUUCAAGCAAUUCACUUGUGCUUUCCAGGUGACCGGGAGGGCUGAGCCCUGGGUCCACCCCUCCCUAGGUUAAUGUAAGGGCUAGCCUUCAAAAUGACCAUGUGUUCUGGAUGAAGACCUUUUUUUGAGAGGGAGCAUUCUGUAGGUAGAGACCUGAUCACUGGCUUGGUGAGUUAACUUUUUUACUUUAAGUGAUUAUUGCUGUUCUCAACAGCACUUUGCUUGGUAUUGUAAUGAACUUAUUGGAAGCGAUUUCAUUGCUUCUAUGGACCAACAAAGUCCCAACUUAGAAAAAGGGGAAAAAAAAGUAAGUUUUGCCUUCUGAAGGCCUGAGACAAAGUGAAUUUGUAGAAGUUGGCCUAAGGUGUUUUUUAUUAUAUUGUCACUUUAUGUUAAAAUCAGUAGUGGAGUUUCUAUGCUUGUUGUCUGACUUACAAGAGUAGUACUACUCCUUAUUUUUCUCUUAAAAAUGCUUGUUCAUCUUUGUGGGUUUUGGAGAGUUACCUUAGUAGAUUUAUACAUAUGAUGGUAUCUGGCUGUAUUCCUGGGGGGCUGUCCUAGGGUUAAAAUCAGUGCAUUGCUUUGGUUUUCAUAUCCCUGCCUUUGCCUUCCCGUGGCUUGCCUAACUUGGUGAAAUAUACUCAGUUGCUUGUAAGGAUGGAGUAACUUCUUCAGCAGGAAGACUGCCUUUUGUAAAUAUUUAGCCACAAAUACACAGAGAUGCCCCAUUGCUUCAAUCUCUUAACAGAAAAAGUGCCUGACUUAUAUUAAUGGAUCUAUAACAAGCAUGAGGUAUUGUAUGAGCAGAGAAACUGUUUUCUGUGGCUUUCUUAUUUAGCUCAAAUGAAAUAAUAAGAAUAGGGCUGGCAGUUGAGUUAUUCAUAUGAAGGUUGGAAGAAAUAUUACUUUUGGUUCCAGAACCCCUGCAGUUAUUCACAAAUUUUACCAAAAUAUUUUUGUAGAUUCCUAUUGUUUUUUACUUAAAAAUAUGGCAGAACUGACUGAAAUGGAUAGAUCUCUUUCAAGAAUAAAAAAAAUCAAUUUCAUUGCCCAGCAUGUAACGUUUUUCUGUGUGUUUCAAGUAUGCUGUAAAACUAGAUCUCCAUGUCUUUUUAAUAGAGGAACUUAGCACUUUAAAAAAAAAAAAUCACAGUCAAAUAUGAGAAGACUGUUGAUGAUUCAGCUUUCUGUAGCUGUACUAAUAUAUUUUUUUCUACUUUAUUUUCAUUGUUUUGUUUUCAGCAAGUUUGCUUUAACUGUAGAGAAAAUGCAAGCUCUUAACUCAUGCUUUAAAUCAUAUAUGGAAUACAAGUCACAUCUAUAUGGUAUAGGUAUAUAUGUCCAGGAAACAGAUAAGCCUUUUUCUAUCUCUUAUGGUCCUCAGCUUCAGGCCAGGAUGACUUUACAGUUCCUGUGAAGGUUAUAUGGGCUUACUAAUGCUUUUGUCUGAGAUCUAUCUCCUAACGGGAAACAGCAACAAGCAAGGAGAAAAAUGCUUGAAAGUACUGAUUUCCUUUGUUGGGUGCUCUGCUAUAGGGUUACUCUGAUAACACCUAGUCUAUCAGAAUCUGCUGAGAGUUCCACAGUGAUCUACAUUAGGUGUCAAAUUUGGACUUUGUCUUGGUUCAGCUCAUUACAGCCUUUCUGUUUAAACUGCAUUUUAUGGUCUGAAGAGUGGGAAAACAUGCUGUUCAGAUCAUGAAAAAGCAACUGUUUAGUUUAAAUGUACCUGGAAUUAAUGAUACCUCUAGGUCUAAGCCCACAUACUAAUAAUUUAGUGCCUAGGGAAAACUGAGAGUAAUCACAAGUGCUUUUAAAAUUUAAACGUUUUAGAAAGUGAAGCCAAUUUCAGUAAAAUCAUUAUGUUUUUAUAACCAUACUUAAAUGGUUUUUCUGAGUAUACAGCUUAUUUUACUUGGAGAGAGAGAGAUUUAUUUUCUGCUCUAUUUUGAUCUAAAAGGUAGUAACUGGCAUUAAACAAAGCACAUCUGCCUUUAUGCCCCUCAUGAAGUUUCUUUGAAUGUGAUCUCUGUGUUUGCAAGAGGUAAAGAUGACAUUCACUGGAUUUUCUGUAUACGGCAUAAAGAUUCACUUCAAAACAUAUUUAGUCCUUCGCAGCUGUAUCCUGUCUGGGGAAAAAGGGAAUUCAUUUUGUUUUCAUGUUUUUGUAAAGGGUAGGUAGACCAAUUGCCCAUGUGCAGAAGUCCAGCAUUAAUGGAUGGAGGCAGACUAACAGCAAGUACAAGUCUCACCUCAUUAUCACUCCAACGUCCUCUGAGCUAACAAAAUAUCAGGAAAAAUGUGGGCAAAACUUUAGACCUACUCUGUUGUCAACUCGACUGAGCUGGCCAAGAAGAAAAGCAACUCCUGCCAGCAGUGGCAUGGGAGGCACUCUAGGAGAGGAUCUGAGACUGCUGAACUUGUUUUUCUUUAGGCUGUUCCGUCCUGAAUGAUCGUACCAAACCAUAGCUUCUUAACUCGCUUGGCCUGUAGGUCCAACUGGGAUUAAAGAACAAAUAAGAUGCUCUAUUUCUUGUUUUUUUUUUUUGAGGUGAAUCUUGUGGUGGGUGCCUAGUUAAGAGUCUUUUUUUACCUGCCCCGCUGCUGAUAUUUAGCUGGCUUACAGGUUGUUUUUCUUAGCUGCCUACCUCAAUAUAUGCAGUAGGCUCUUGUUUUCAUAUUAGAGGGCCCUGGGCCCUCCCUGGUGUCAGAUAGUGUUGGGCUCAGCAGCCUGGCCCCAUGGUCUGGCCUUCCACUGUGAGCUUCCUGCUGUAUGUGCCUUGCCUAGGGCUGCCUGGGCCUAAACCACUCCAACUGGCCAUCCGCAUGGCUCUAAGGUUUGAAGAAACAGGAAGAAACUGCUCAGUUAGUGCCCAUUUGCAGAGGUUAGGUCUUUCUCCUCUAAAGAAGAAACACAGAGGAUAUGUCCCAGAUAACAGAAAUACACCCGCAGUGUUUCUACUUCUUAGGGUGUAGUUGCUCCAAGAAAUGCUGAGUCUUAUAGUAGAAUUCAAUGCCCAUAGCAAAACGUCAAAAGGAACAAAAAAGGAGUUCAAGUCUGUACCAUGUUUUUUCUGGACUUCAAAAGUCUACUGAAAACUUUGAAGUAUAAUGAUGCCCUAUGCUGCAUUUUACUUGUUGUGUACCACAUGUAGAUUUGAUCAAUCAGUGAACUUGCUCUUGAUUCAAACUCACUAUCUACAUGCGGACAGGUAAUGAAUGGGUAUAUAGGUUUGCACAUCCUGAACUUGUUCUUUACCUAUUAUGGAACAAGUGGCAACAGCGUGAAUAUUGUUGUGAAUGGAUGCCAGGUCUUAUAUCUUGGACCAAAGACUUUUUAGGAUGGUAAACUCUGCCUUGGAAGGCUGUUUCAGUGAGAGAGGUUGGAGGCUCAGAUGAAGACCUCUCCAUGAAAUCCAGUGUGGGGUACCAUAGCUGUUGUCGAAUUAUGUGGGUCAAACUAAAUGAUGGCAGCUCUCCCUCUUGUCUUAGAGUGCUACUUAGAAGAUUUCCUCUGUUACUGAAAUCAGACGAUGUUAAAAAUUAACAGCAAGGAAUAUAGAGAAGGGCCAGACCUGGGGCGAGGGAAGGGGGAACGGAAAAUUUCCAAGUUCUUUCUGAAAAGCCUCUUUAAUGAAGGACCAUAUAUCUUUUUUUUUUUCUGUACAGAUCAUCUUCCUUUUCCUGCAAUAAAUUUAUUUCCAACAUGUUACAGAUACAGAAAACCUGCACUGUGUGUGCAUAUGUAUAUAUAUAUAUUUAUGUAUAAAGCAUCAAAUCCAGGAAGAAAAUUUUAUAUUUUAUCUGCCAUUGAUCUAACUAUUGCAAUUAUGUAAUAUCUUUGAAGGAAGGAUAGAAAUACAAAUGCCAUGUCCUGGAUCUGAAAUAAAGUUCAGACUUUUUUUUUUCUUGGUCACUAUUUUCCUGUAUUUUUUUCUUCCCCUCAGAAAGUGGGCUCACUUGUAUUUAUUGAGCAGCUUGAUUGGAAAAACUAUCUGCAGUGAUAUAUCAGGAGACAAAACUAAGUUUUGAACUGAGAUGCUCAUUUUUGUACAGAAAUUGAACUAUGUAUGACUGCACAGAUCUUCCCUCCCCCUCUUUCUCAGUCAGAUAAUACUCCUGUAAUGAGUACAACAACCACUUGUAUUGUACUGCCAUACAACACAAGGAAGGCACUGGACAUAUGUUUAUUUCCAGCUUCUAAAUGCCAUAAAACUUAAAGAAACAACCAUGACAAGGAAGUCUUUCUAUGGAUAGACAGUGGCCCCAGAGUGCAGACAGAGGAAUGCUUUUACAGUAUACAGUUAGUUUUGUGUGUAAACUUUUCAAGACCAUUUCAGACUAAUAGUCUGAGCUGCAUUACCUCGGAGGGUAUUGUAGUUAAGACUUAACCCACUCUGCUAAUAAAUUACAGUGAUGUAGCAGCUUUUAUGUCAAAGAAUCCUGAAGUGCUUUACAAACCUUACAAUCUAUACAUGCAUGAAUCACUUCACCCACUAUUGAAGUAUGGCCAGCCCAGGGAUGAAUUGUGGCAGCUGUUUAACAGCACACAGCAGUACGACACAAUGGGUUUAGGAGAGCAAAGGCAACAUGCUCUCCCAGUGCCAGUUCAAGUAAUUCAGAGGGGCAGUGGAGAACACCUUGGAAGGGAAAAGGAGGAGUUUCUCCCUCACAGGCAAUGUAAAUGACUGUUACUUAAGUGUCUGGGGCUGCCUUGUGAACCAUCGUGCUGCUAUUAGCUUCAGCAAGAAAAACCCAGAAGUCGGGGGAAAUUUGAAGAGCAGUCACUACAUGGUGAUAGAGAAGAAGUAGCCUGCAUGGGACUGUUGGUCCUUACCCCUCUGCACAGACAUAUAUUGUACAAAGCCUUUCUCAGGAAGGUCCUCCAUUCUGACUAAAAGUAGCUUGUUCUGUAAGUGUACAAGUAAGCACGUGUGAUUUUUUUUUUUUUUGAAACUGCCAAGGAAAUUUAGGUUGGUGGAGGUUUUCCUACCUGAACUGGAACUUAACAGGAAAAUAAUAAAAUGUGCAGUCUUUGUGUAGGCUGUUUUUUGGUACAGAUUGCAAUUGGGAAGCAGAAGGAAAAACAUCAGUUUUACUCACAGUCUGUAUCUGUACAUCUACUUGAACAGGACCCAGAUCUUUAAAGAGUUAGAUAGGAAAUUAAUUUAUUUCCCACUCCCUUUCUGGUUACCAGCUGUUCUCCUAACAUGAAGUGAUGGUCCCCAUAAAGGCCUUCUGAAGAAACAAGCAAUUUCCUGAAUAAAUCAAGUUAUCCUUUCCUUCUUCCCUUUUUUCUCCCUUUCAGUGACUGGUAUCUUUGGUGACAAUCCUGAACAGUCUUGUUACCAGCUGCUCUAAUCUAGGGCUUUCAUCAUUUCACCUUGAUAUUUCCUUCCUCAUUGUUUCCCCUACAUGUACAAAACAAUGCCUAUGAGUGCUGUGUACAAGACUUGCAGUAGAAAAUGAAUUGUUUAUGGUGGCGCAUAUCAAACUAAGGUUACUUUCUCGCUUAGGAAUAGAUUUGUUCCUUGGAAAGAAAAUGUUGAGGUUUUUAACUUCUUCAAAAGAGUGCAACUGAGAAUUUGUUUCAUUUUCCUUUGUCUGUAGAUCCAGGAAGACCAGUAGAAGUUGCUGUGAAUGUACAGUUAGAAAACGUAGUGACUAUUGACUUAGUUGUUUGCACUGGACCUUUCCAAUGUCGCUAAUUCUUCCUGCUUAAUAAUAUAGUAUCAAAAAGGUAUGGAAGUAUAGUUUUAUGUAUUUCUAUCCAGUGCUUCACUGCAAAAAUAGUAAUCAAUAGGCCUCUACCUUCACUCUUAGAGACUCACUGUAAACUCUCCACUCCUCCAUUAAGCUUCCUAAUGGUGUUGCUCAUAUGAGCAUAUGCUGCUUGCAACCAUGGUUGGACCAUUACAGCCCUGAAGUAGAUCAGUACUAGUAGAAAGCAAAUACUGCUUGAGAGAAGAAAGUCUGUUGUUUUUAUCAGGCCUUGAACCGAGCACACAAAGAGUUAAAAUAAAUAAGCAUAGUUAUUUUCUGAAGAUUACCAAAUUUCAUUCUGAAACAGAAUUUCUAAGCAGAAUUUUACAUAUAAAAUACUGUUGAUAUUGAACCCAGUUUUUAUGCACCAACUCUGUGCAGAACUGAAUCUUUUGCUUGUAAAUGCACUGAGCCUUAAAAGCAAUUUCUGUCAUGUCCUCCUUCAUAUUCUUAUCUCUUUCAUCACCAUCCAAAAGGAAACACUUUAACUUCAGGCAAUAAGAAGCUUUUAAUUCAGAUCUAAGUUUACAUGAGCUAUCUCCAUUAUAGUGUAAAAUGUGAAAAAGAAAAAAUUUAAAUCAUAGUUAAAAAUUUAAUUAGAUCAUUUCUGCUGUUUUGCCUGUUUUAAAAUAUAUAAUAAAACUUCAAUAAAUUUUAUUCUGGGUCAUAUCAGCAUCUUCUCAAGAAAAUGAAGUUAAAUCUUUGUAGUAACUAGCAGCUUAAUUUUCAUUAGGCUAGCUAUUCGAUAAUUAGUCAUGCACCAUAAAUCAAGUCCCCAAGUCUUCUCCAGGUUUCUUAAUUGAAAAUUAUUGUUUCUUGGCUCUGUGGCUAAAUGUGUAGCAAGUCUGAGGAGUGAUAGAUGCUGAAUCUAGCACAAACAGUUUGAAACAGUCAGAACUUGAUAGAUCAUUGCCCUGAAGGGUCUUGUAAUGGUGGAGAGACUGUGAAUUUCAAAAUUAAAGGGUUGUUCUUAAAAAUCACAAGUGUAAAAGCUAGCUGUGGUUUACCGAAUACAUCCUAACUUUCAGCCACUUUUCCUUUCACUGAUAGCUGGUUUUCAGUUGUUUUUCUGGUGACAAUUGUAAUGCAUUUACUGAGUAUAUUUGGAAAGUUAAAAUGCUGGCUUAGGAAGACCCAAAUUGAGAUUAUUUUUGCUCUUGCUUUUUUUGGUGGUGUCCUUUUUCUGGUAAACCUCAUUAACAAAUAUGGAAGUUGUUUAAUUUUUGGCAUCUUCAAACACUGACUGAAAUGGUGGCGGCCAUCUCAGAGCCAAUAUGAGAGAACAGAUGGGCCUGCUAUGCAUGCCUUAGGUCAUAAAAUCAUUUCAGAUAUGAUGCAGUUGUGGUUAAGUAAAAGACUUUUGCAAAGUCAGAAAUAUAUUACUUCACUAAAAUAAGAAAGGCCUUUUGUAAUUUUUCUUUUGACAGCUGAGCAGACUUUGCACAGAGUUCAGCUUAUGUUUGCCAUUCUGUAGAUAAGGACAGCCAUGGGGUUUUCUGCCAUUCAUGGCUUACUUCCUCACGAUCAGGCCUAGACCUGAUGAUGACCACAGCAGGAAACAGAGCAAAAUGAUCCAUAAAUUUACAUGCAGAAAUCAAGUGAUGCUAAAAAAAAAAAAAAUAAAAAAAUUAAGUGGGCCUAAGAUUUUUAGCUGAGAAUUUCCAAACGGUGUUGGUAAAUUCCUACUGAAAGCAUUACACUUGUCUACUUUGAGGAAAAAAUGUAGACUUAUAGCUGACAAAGGGAUUAACGUGUGCUCAGAUAAACUGAAACUUGUGUUGUGAUAAGAACCAACAUCACCCUCUGUAACUCGUGACCAAAAAAAAAAAAAAGUAUUGACUUCAUGGGCAGAGACUACUGCCCAGACCUGUGCACUUUCCUUGGGAAAUCCCUGAGGCCCAAUAUGAAGUGCUGAGCCUGGAGCAGACUUUCCACGUGAAUCACAGAACGGCUUGGAUUGGAAGAGACUUUACAAACCAUCUAGUUCCAAUCCCUGCUGUGGGCUGGUCGCCACCUACCAGAUAAGGUUGCACAGGGCCCCAUCCAACCUGGCCUUGAACACCUACACAAUUUUUCUGGGCAGCCUGUUCCAAUGCCUUACCAUCCCUUUGGAUGUCCCGAAUGGAUGUGUUCUUGUGCAGUACAGAUGUCUUUCUGGCCAGUCUCAGGAAUUUUCAGGGUGUACCGUAUCUCUGCAGAUAUGCUCCUAAUACACACUCCAGUGAAAAUUCCACAAAGAAAAGCUAGGGGUGCAUGAUGAGUAUUAAAACUUUAAGAAAGGAGAGAUUUAAAAUGAUGCGUUGCCAACUGGGAGGGAGUUUAUUAAAAUAUAUAAUCAAAUAAUUGCUUUAUUUGUGGGCCAUGUUAUUUUCAGGGGCCUGAAAUGACUGUGCACAAUCUUAUUUUUGUAAAGAUUUAAUCUUGGAAGGGAAAGUCAUUUGCCUAAGGGAUGUAUUGAUUUCAUUCAGCUGUCACCAUCUUUUUGUAAGAUGUUAUGGACGGAGAGCCAAAUUCAGGUCUAGAUUUAUUCAACUUCAUUUUAUUUUUGCACUGUACCAAAUCUAAAUACAGUUCUGUGAUUACAGAAAAGAAUUGUUUUCCGGCCAAUUGCUCCAUUUUCACACCGGACUAGAUCCGAGCUAUGAGUAAGAAAGAACUGAGGGCUGCGAGUGACAGCAGAAGAAAAGGGAGCAGCCUGUGCCCAAGCAUGGAGCCUGGUUCCAGGGGUGGCAGUUCUAUCCUUGUCUGUAGCACUGGGGAGACUUGGCAUGACCCUGAUGAUGGGAAAUGGAAGGGAGCCAAAGCUGACCUGCUCUGUGUCCAGGCAGGAGGCAGCGGUGGUGCUUUUUGUUCGUGUCCCCAUCGUUCACAUGCAAUGCUUGCAGUGCAGAAAGGAAGCUUUACAUAAGGCUGCUUUCCUGCUUAUGGACUGUUGCUCUGUGUGGAUUUGGUGGAGUCACAGGUUACAAACGUGGAAGAGGCUGUUCUAUAUAAAGUAGGCCAUGGAACUUGCCUGGAUUAAUUUGAGUGAGUAGGUAUGUGUGGUGACUUACAGUCUCUACCAGCGCUGAGGUGCACGCUUGCACUGUGGCCACACGAGAGUGCUUGGCUGUGGCUGUUCUUUAACCAGGACCAUGCAGGCUUUGUGACUUCUUGCUGAUGGUGGCUGGAGCUGGAGGCACUUCAUGCUGCUGCAGCUUGGCAGAGGCUGCUAAAUGUUUUAUCUGAGGGCUGAAAGGAUCAGGAUUUACAUUGUGGAUACCUGUAUUGAGCUGAGAGUGUGGAGAUCAGAGUCCUGAUCCUGCUGAGGUUUGCAAGAGGUCUGGGGCUCUGUUUUCUGACAGAAUUGUAGAAGGUCUGGAUGCCUUGGCAAUAAAAUCUUGCAAGCUGUUUCUGUCAAAUUUUCACUCAGAAUUGAAGAAGAAUCAUGCCAUCAGCGGUUCUUAGCGCGGUUUUCAUUAGCAUUUAUGAAAAUGUUAUUUUCUGGCUAGUAUGAUUUACAUUUGAGUUAGAAUAUUAAAAUAUUAGCAUUCUCAGUUUUAUCUGGCUUCUAGAACUGGCACAAAUAUAUUCAGUUUCAGAGCUGAGAGCUCCACUACUCUCCCAUCCUUAUUACACACACAGAAAAAAUGAAUAACAGGCUUAAGAGUAUGUAUUUAGUUGAUACUCAACUGUAACAAACUUCAUCUCCGUGACGCUUCAGGAGUAACAGUCCAGUGUACUUUGGGCAUAAAGUAGGAAUGAACACUAGAUAAUUUUUAUUGUAGGGCUUGUUAAAAAAAUAUUUUCAAGAUGCAGGGUGUGUAUAUUCAAUUUCACUGAUAUUUUACACUACCACAGAUAGAUUAAAAAGAUCAAAUCUUUUUCUCCCUCACAGCUCUCUUCCUCCAGCAUCCCACAGUCAGAAUGUGAGCUUACAUCCAAAAAGAUGUGUGACUGAAAUAGUAUGCUUAGGCCAUUAAAAUGAAAAACGUCAUAAAAUUCUGUAGCUGUUGUUCCUCACAAGGAGUGAACUCAUUCACACUUGGUAUAUCUAGGUAGAAUUUCUUAUUAGUGUAAUAUAUAUGAUGUGAGCAGCAACUAGUGGAUAGAUGAAUUUGAAUGGAAAUGUGUGGUCCAUGUAAAGAGAGGCAGCGCUUACUCAAAUGCUGUUAAAACUCCCUCAUUUACAGCUCCUGGAGAUGGAGAUGAAACAUACAGCAGAUUGCCUGUAACCAUAGCAAUUGGCUCCGACAUGAAAGAUCUCCAGCAUAGAGGUAGUGGUAAUGGCAGAAGCAGUGUGGAAGAUAAAGGUGUGCAGAUAGAGACAGUACCAGGUGGAAGUGAACUACUAAAUAAGUGAAGAUGAGGCCCUAGAUGGAUUCAGGCAGAUGUGUGAGUUUGAUGAGAAGGAUUGGGUUGGUGAGGUGAGCUGGAGAGAAGGAAGGGAAGGCUGAAGAGAAACAUGAGGUUUUGCUGUUAGCCUGCUGUAGGGGAUGCAGUGUUCUUUCAGGAAUGGAAGACAGUGAAGAUGGCUGGAUUUCAGGGAUCCUCAUGCAUCACUCAGUGUAUGGAGACAGCCUCCACAACUUGUUAUAUCUCAGAAAAGAGUCACAGAGUGAUUCUUGACAUAGAUUUUCAUAUGCCAAAGUCAAAGGUGCCAGGUUCAGGCCUACAGUUCUGGGAUAUAGUAGGAAAAUCCCCAGGAGAAAAACAUUGGUGAGAGAUAGGGAGAAGACUAUUCUUUAAAAUCAAGUGCCUCCAGUUACCAGUCCACUGGUAUAAAUAAAAUAUCUGAGACGUGUACUUAAAUAUUUUGCUUGGUCUCCACUUUCAAAGAUAACUUUUGUACAUUUGCAGAAAAUGUUACCUCUUACUACUUGUUAGAACUGCUUCCCAUUUUCAUUACAACUGUGGCUUUUACAUUAGUAAUCCCUAGAAUCAUAGAUGUGAAUAACUUUUUAAUAAUAAUAAUUAAAUUGUGCUGUAAGUUCCAGACAGAAAACAACACAAAAUCCAUAAUAAGCUAGAGACUACAGAUCAGUUAAUUGUUCAAAACGUUUAGAUCUCUAGAUUUGGAUAUACAAUUUAUAUCUAUCCCAAGUGAAUCUAUGAAUUCAUAAAAUAUAUAUAUAUAUAUAUGUAUAGGAACUAAACUUCCAAAGACUUCCACCAUUCAAGUCAUUGCUGCUAUCAUAUUUUUGGCAAUCUUGUUGAGUUUUGACUGGAGGAUGGCCUUCUGUGUGACUGUGAUCGAAACCUAUCUGAUUAGGGAAAAAUUCUUUUGAGCAACUGGAAUUACCCUCGGGUAAGAGCACAGUGCAAAGAAUCCAGCAGCAAAAGUCCAUGGUUACAGUGCUGUACUGCAGGGCUGAGCUGGCUUCCUAAGGAGGCUCAGCUCCCACAGCACAGCCUGUAAACUUAUCACAUUGUGCAGGAUGCCUAAAGCCCUUAGUCUCCCUCACUCUGCCUUUCCACUACUUUUUGUUUGCUUAUAAAAGUCAUUUUUGGUCAGCUAGGCAGUUCUUUAUAGAAGGUGUAAUAAACAUAAGAUUUAUACAGCUAUGUGUUAGCUUUAAAUCUACUCAACUCCCUGGGUAAAAAAAAAAAAAAAAGCAGGAUCACAGCAGUGAACAUUUUAAUAAACAAGCAAAGACAUUUUACAGAAAAAGAACAGAUAGAAAGAAGAUGUAGUUCAACACCUCAUAUCUGUGUUGUAGAAAUGAGGUUGAAGAUUGUAUGCACAUUCUCAUUUUGGAAUUUUUUUCUCCCUGUGUUUGUUCCUGAAUUAGAACUGUAGAAGUUCAACUUUAAUUUACUGUUUCACUCUUCUGAUUUUGAAGCAAUCAGAAGCUCGUGAAGCUAGCUGACUGUGCAAGAUUUGGGGGCGAAAAUCUGAUUAAACAAGAUUGCUGGAUAUUACCUACUGUCAAAUCACCAGUUCAUCUUUUCAGUAUACCUUUAGGAACAUCUGAUUGCCCUGAGAUAUCUGCUGAGAGAGAUAUAUUCUUUUAUGUCUAAGGAUUAGCUGGCACAGUUGUUGCUAGUGUCUGGCUAAGUUUCACUUUCUGCUAUGAUUUGUGUUUCUAAAUUAAAUUUGGGAUGGUGCUAGCAGCUUGGGAUGAGCACCAUUUAUAAGUUCAAAUAAAAAAUAAAUUAGAAAUCUGAACUGCAGCCUGGCCUACCAGUUUAAGAUUUACCCCAAAGUUUGUCUACACCUGCAGUGUUCCUCAGCCCUAAAUUAGACAAGACCUUUUACACCAUUACUUUGCAAAUCUAGAUGGUCCUCAGAUACUUAGACUUUAACACCUGUUAAGUAUGGUUAGCAUCACUGUCAAAUUGAAACGAUUCUUCAGUGAUUGGGUCCAAGUCUGCAGUCAUCAACUGUCUAAUCUGGAAAUAACAACUGCAGUAGAAGCUGAAUCAAGACUGAUAAUUUCUCCCAUAUCAAAUUUAUGUACAUUAUAAUGUAAUGAAAAUAUUCCCCAAGGAAAUUUGUUGCUAUGUACAGCACACAAUACCAGUUGAAUGCUUUUCUUACCCCUUCAUGUGUUCUGUAUGCUGUGAUGUUACACUGUCAAUGGGAAAAGUUCUUCCUUACAUAUAUACCAGGUUUUCUGAAUUUUUUUUACUCCCUUGUAAAUGUAAUUAUAUAUUUAAUUUUUGCAAAUGCUAUACCUAUCUUCCAACCUCCUUUCUCGCCUGUAUUUACUAUAAAAAUCCACCCUAUCUUAGUUAUUAUAAGCUAAACUAAAGAUUUCCAAUUAAAUAUUGUGAAUCCAGAUAGAUCUGAAAGGCAUUCAAAUACUUUCAAGGUGUUUAUGAUAUCAGAAUUUAGAGAUUAGGCUUCUGCUGGAAGCUGCAGUUGUCUUGUAGAAGAGGGAACUUCCAAGAAGGAAAAAAAAAAACCACAAAGCUUUUCUACAAGAUAUGGGUUACUUUAAAAAUCUGUGGGGGCAUCGAUUUUCCACUUUGAGGUCAAACUGUAGUCAACAUAGAUGUCAUCCCACGCAAGCACAUAUCAGUAAUGACAGUACACCUCAGCCGGCAGGGUUCUUACCUCUUGGCUAGAAGGUCAUAAGUUUAAGUCUCCCACCAGGGCUUGGGCUGAUUCUUAAUGCUAACAUGGCAAUGCAACGCUAGGGAGGUGCUGAACUGUUUGAGGUGCCGUCCUUCAUGAGAUAAGAUGUUAAUCCAAAAUCCCUUUUGCCUAUCCCUGCUCCCUGUCUAGGCAAUAUCACUGUGGCACUUCCGUGAAAAGAGGCUGUCUGAGCCUACAUCCUGGCCAGAGUUCCCUGUCACACGAUGGCAGACUCAACAGGCCGAGACAGAGCAUGAGCCAUUGUGUUACUGCUCCACCAGCCAUUACUGUGUUCAGUUAACUACAAUGGAAACACUGUCAAGCAUUUUAGGAUACACAGGAUGCAAAGGGCCUAAUGCAAAAGCCAAAAUCUAAUGCAGUCUUCUAAAAUUCUAUUGUUUAUCAUGUCUCUGUACACAGACACACAAACACAUUAUAUGUAUAUUUAGAAAAUGAGGCUCUGUUAAAAAUUACAUUCAGCUUGCACUCAUUCCAUUUAUAUUAUGUUGAGCAAUUAUGUUCCUUCCCUCAAACUGAUUUUUUUUUUUACCAUUUUGAAAUAAGAACUCUGCAUUUAAUAUCAGACAUUCUUUAUUAAAGAAACAUAUUGUUUAGCUUGUCAUGAUAUAGAGUUGCUUUUCCAUAAGUACAUUAAACAUGGAUACUCAGGGGAUAUUUUCUUCAAAGCAAGUGGAAAUUCUGGGAAGAAACGUGUUAUAACAACUGUCUAUGGUUAAAAACGAGAAAUAGUAAGAAACUUGGAUGUUCUCUGAAGAAUAUGGUGCUAUAUGUAGCAUUGUGAAAAUGCCAUCUGAGGUUGGUUUUGGACCAAGAAGUCUGGAUGUUGCAUUUUGCUUUAUUUCAUCUUCACAUCUUAUUUUACUUUAUUUUCCGUGAAAUAGUGACUAGAAUUAGACUGCAAAAUGCACGUUUUAUUUAUAGUAUGCUUCUGAUAGAUGCAUGUGUGUGUGACCUAAACUGUAGAAUUCCAUAUGAAGAGUCAAUAUGGAAAAUGUUAUUAGGUGACUGUAAGUUUGGGGGGCAAACCAGAAUAAUUUCCCCCCCCUUUCAAAUUAGAAGCUCUAUGAUCUUCUGUUAUGAGAUCCCCUAUUUGAAAUAAUAAACUGGGGAGUAAAACUUCAAAAUAACAAAAUCCUCCUUUUUUUUUUUUUUAGCCACUUUGCAUAAUAUAAAGUGCUUAAACUCCUUUUGCAGCAGCCCUGCUGGCUUUCUGUUGCUUGAUAUUCUGACCAUUUUUGAACCCUUGAACUCUGACAGAGAGGAGGGACUUGGAGAGGUUGUCAUCUGAUCUAUGUAAGGAGGCAAAAGGAGUAGCUUUCUCUUUAAUAGCACUCUUUUCUGCUUAACAGUUGGUGGGAGAUUAAAAUGAUCUAGGUGGAUAAGGCAGGUUAAAGGUCAAGGGACACCACAACUCCCCCUCUCCCCAACACGUCAAAAUAUAGACAGGUCGUUAGAAGUUUAAAAUUUUAUGUCCCUUUCCCAAAUAUUUUGGUCUAUUUAUGCACUAAUUUCUAUUAUAAAUUCCAGUUCUUGAGGGGGACUGGACCCCUACUAGGCUACUGUCCAGCCUGUAUACUCGUCAGGUGCUGACAUUCUGAGUUUCAGCCAUAUUAAUUGCUGGAUAAAGGCUAUAAUCCCCUCUCUUUGAAGCCCAAGACUGAUUUUUAGGCAGUACUUCAAAAGCAGCGCACAACUGAAGAGGCAUAUUUCCUACUAGCACUGAAUCAACAUGAUUUACUCUGUUUGCGUUCGUCUACAUACGCCUUGCAUAUUUGGCCGCACAACAAAAAGGUGUGAGUUGGCUGUAAUAUAGUCUAAGGAGAGGUUUUUACUAUCCUGAAGUUGAUAUAUGACCUUGUCUGAGACAUACCGUUCCAGAUCUUUGCUUUAAGCAUCAUUAGGAAAGUAUAAACUCCUAUAUCACGCUUUUGUUACCGAUGAAAAAUCGUGCCUUAACGCUGCUAGAAUUUUUUUUUACUCCCUGCAACAUCAUAUUAAAACUAUAAUUUAGAGUGAGGCUGAUUCUUAAGCCAUGAAUAAAUAAGGCCUGUGUUUUGAAAAAGCAAACCUUUUUUGAAACACAGAUUUUAAUAUCUUAAAUACUGCAGCUUCUUAAUUAAACGAAGCUGUGAUCCAGCAGCAAAUAUCCAUUAUUAAGAAUAAAUAAACAUACUGUUCGGGUUGUUUUCAGGAAGAAGAAACGGGCAGAGAGGUCUUUUAAUUGUAAAUAAUUUUCUAGCGGAGGCAGGGCUUGCAGCAUAGUGCUGAUGUGUACUUCACUUCUGGCUGUGCCUCUUUUUGGGGCGGUGUGUACUUUGCUUCUGGCGGGCUGUCCGCAGAGCCGCGCUAUUGGGACUUUCUCAUACAGGAUUUGCCAAGUAUACUUAGUGUUAUGUUUGAGAAAGAUUAACAAUAUUUCAGAUCAAAGGAGAAUCCUGCUGCACGGUCUUACAAGAUUGUCAUUCACUCCCAUUAUGGCUCAUUUGCACAAGAUUUUCAUGUAAUAUGAGCCAUUGUUUUGAUGGCAGUGAUUUGACAUAAAGACAGGGCCAAAAUGCAACCCGGAGCCCCGCUCCACCAGGCUGGGGGGUAGCUGGGGUGCAAAGAACUUGCCAAUCAUAACCCACAACUUUCUCUCGGCGGUGUUAGAGCCUUUAUCAGGUGGCAAACUUUUCAAUGAGCGUUGGUUCUUGGAGGGACUCUAACAAUGGGCACUUUUAUGAGACUGUGGAUGCUGCUUUAACUAGGCAAAGUUUUGGUUAAGAUGAAUUCCAAACAGCACGUUAGGGGUAAUUUUGGUCAGCCGCAUAGUGCUAUGGCUUGUUUACCACUCUGAAGAAUUGAGUCGGUUUUAAGCUGUUUUAUGAAAGCUGGAGAGCCACACACCGAGACUGACAUAUGAGAAACGUAUUUAUCCCAAUAUUUAUAUUUUAAACCAGUAGCUUCCUUUUUCAGGCUCAAGUUUGCCAUAUAGAUGCUUUGCGGACACUGUAAGCUGCAGAUACAUUUGACUGUAGUAUAAACCAGAAAUCAAUAAAAUUAAUUAGAGGAAAAAAAAAAAGAUGCAUCUUGAAAUAUUUUUCUUCAUGUUUUGAAUUUGAAGUAAUAAUUUUUUGGGGAAAAGUUAGUUUUUAUGGGUAAAUGAGUGUUAACAUUUAGAAAGUUGGUGGAGGUUACAGAGUCUGAUUUAAAGCUAAAGCUGCACAAAGCCUGUUGCUUUGGCUUUAAUGCACCCUAUUGGGCUUAGGUAGCACAGGAAGCUCCCGGCUGGAGCUGCUCUGAGAUGUCUCAGGCCCGAUCCUGCAGUUCUUGCAGGGCAGAACUCUCAUGACUUCAGACAAUAACUGCAGGAUGCCCAUUCUUUCCCACCCAACUGAACUGCUUAGGUACAAUUGAUUGGAGAGUGACCAUAACCAGUAUGCGCCCAUCAAAAUGGACAGGGAACAGCAUUAACAGGAUUCUCUACCAUAUAGCUUGGACAAUUCUUCCAAUAGCGGGCUCCAGGGAACCAUCUUUGGGCUUCAUCUCACUUACUCAGCUUCUACUCAAGACUACUGUGCAUCCUAAGCUUUCCCACAGGAUCUACAUUCUUCGUCUGCAAAACAUGUGCUUUUGCUUCUGCACCGAAAUCAAUUACAGAUCUGGGGCCCCUGAGAGGUGGAGAAGUGUCAAAGCACUGGAAUCUCCAUUUGGGAUGGUGCUGCAUCUUCAAGCGCAGGAAUUUCCUAAGAGAUCCUAUUAGCCAGGCUGCAUCCAGACUGAAAAGCUCUCAGCGACAAUGAGGAUGUCAGCAUCACCUGUUCCUGGGCAUGAAGGAAGGAAUUGGCCAGGAGUGCUUCUUCCUGGUGCCCCCUAGAGUGCAGAGAAGCAGAAGAAGGAUGCUGACAACAAGGCCAAUGCUUAAAUAUCUUGCUCAUAAUCACAGACAGACACCAGGGUAGAGAAGAAAACUCAAAGGACUACCACUCAGAAAGUCAAAUCAUCAGUCCACAGUCUCACUGUGCCUACAGAAUUAAGGGACAAAUUCUCUGCUGUUAUACACUGGUCCAGGAGGAGGCUGAUGACAAAAGGGAAGGAGGGAAUGAUUGGAAAAUAAUGACAUACUUU